rnacentral:lncRNA from 1 species
AAAAAAAAAGAAAUUAUAGUGAAAUUGAUUGCAAAUGAGGCUAAAUUAGAAACAAAUAUUGGAAAAAAAAAACUCCGAAUAAUUUUCUUGAAACUCAUUCUCUCUGUGUUAUCCUGAAUUUGAGGCUUUCUGCACCAAAAACAAACUCUUGAAUGAAGGUAUUGGUGCAAGGACAAUAUGCUACUACUUAAAUAUGAAAUGAAAAAAAAGUGAGCGAAAGAUCGCACCGAAUCGAAGGUAAAUUGAAUUUCUAGCCUAAGAAAAAAAAAUCAUUUGCAGCUGCAGCUGUACUGUACACUAAGGGGGGGGGGGGUUUCUUCGUUCUUUUUGUUUUGGAGUGACUCUCCAACUUGUUACUGUUGAUAUUCAGAUGAGUGUGGCCUCGUGAAAUCUAGCACAGUGAAAAAAAGGACCAAACGAAACAAGCCAUUAAACAUUGUGCCCAUUAAACAGGUCCAAAACAGGAACAAGAACACAAGAUAGCACACCUGUUGUUGCAGCUCUGCAGGUAGGGGAAUGUGUUAUUCCCUGAGCAAAUAAUGGGGGCCCUUUUGAUUCCAUUUGGGACAGAGGGAACCUACAAUUAUUGCUGUAAGAGUUUGGAUUGGUCUUUGGCUGAUGCUGAUGAAUGUGGCUUCAUUUCUAAGUAACAGAAAAUGACAACAACGGGUUCGUCGUCAUUUAUGUUGGGUGGGUCCCCCGCAAAGUGUCUUCCUCUCUAUAAGUUAAUUAGUAUGUUUGACAAAUUUAUAUAGUACUUUAGACUGCAGGUAUGAACCAAUCAAAAUUCUUUACGUUAUAUAUGUCUGUACAUCUGCAAUCUAUGAGAAGGUAAUACUUGAGGGGCUUCUCAGUAACGCUUAAAAGAAUAGCAUCUCUCAAUCUGUAAAGACAUGUUACCGUAUUAGAGUUUUAUCAGAUGUGUAUUCUGUAAAUUAGGAUUUGACAAAAUAAGGAUAUGGCACGAGUCCUUUAGCGACCCUUGCGGAGGCAAGCAAGCUCAGCGAGACAACAGGCAUGAGUCUUUUUCAAUGCCUAUUGUCUCGCUCCUUAGUUCCUAUCUGCUCUAGCCGCUCGCUGUAAUAGCUUUCAUGCAUCUUGGAUGGCUCACGCCUCCUACUCCGGGUAUUUUCCCUCAGCUAGAGGUUGCUCGGUGGUCGAUCGACCUGCUGCAUGCGUACAUGGGUGCAUGCGUAAGGACAUGGUGAGUGACUCGACUCAUACUGCGGUAACCAUAGUAAACGCCUCCUUGUCCCGAAAUGGACGUCCGAUUUAAAUGACCAGGUACAACAUCGCACUUGGACACCCGAGGAUUGCGGAAGCAGCAGCAGACUGGCUCGAUGCUCGUGUCUCCAUCGACAACUUGCGCAUCCAAUUUGGAGAUUUAAGCACCAUUGUGACAGCCAGCUGUUUGCAAAUCGCUGCUCAUUUUUGGUUCGACAGUUAGCUCCACAAAGACUCGGUCGCAGUCGGCGCGUACGUUUGCCAAAUGAGCCCAGCUAGAUCUUUAUUAGGUAAUUGAGCUCGGUUGUGUUCCGUCGGUUUGAUUAUUAAUUCUUGGAAAAUAUAAAAUGCAGACAAGAAUAAUAGAUUGCAGAAAAUUAUUUUUGGAUUUUUGGACGUUGCACCGAUAAAAUUCCAAUAAUAAGUUGAGUUUAAUAGUUCAGAUGUGACGAAAUUUCAUAUAAAUAAGAAUCCUCACAAUUCUUUUUCUAGGGGUUAGUAGGUGGGUCAGCAUCCCAGGCCGCGUGGUUAAGGUCCGAUUAUGUCAAGUCAUUAUCGAGACUACUAAGUGUUGUAUGUAUAUGUUUUAUUCAGUGAAUUAGUUGUCCUUUUCGUUAGAACAAAAGCAAAAAGUAUCUAAAUUCGUCGGGCACAAAAAUGCCAAAAGAGAAUCGAGAAAGAGAGAAGAAAAAUAGAGCCAUACGGAUUUACAUGAUUCGGCCACUGGCCUAUAUCCACGAAUGAAGACGUAAUGGAGAUCUUCAUUAUAAUCAAACUGAUGUAGAAAAUAUGCUUCUCUUAUAAAACACUAGCUAGUUUAAAAAAAUAUACUCAUACUCCCUCUCAUCUACCACACCAGAUCCAUAGAAUAAAGAUUAUAUUUAUAAUUGUGGCUAAAUCCUAAUUCGACUAGGAAUACAAAUCCAUUGAGACUAUGUGUAAUCUCAAUUAGAUUAGGCAUAAUCUAAACUUAACUUAAUGGGAUAACCAAAUCAGAAUAUAGUUAGAAAAUCUUGUUGUUCCAGAAUUCGAGACAUCUAACACUUAUCGUACAGCUUGAGCUUGUGGAAUAGUGAUUAGUGCUAACGAUCCGCAUUAUGGUCUCCUUAUUACAGAGUAAUGUGACCUGCACCGAACUGAAGCUCCAAUAGCUCUAGAGAGUCUUUAACCAUAGGGUUUCUAAAGUAAUCUGCUAUUACAUUACGCAAGUUUCAAACCAACUUUAUACAAUGAAAUCAUAAAAAUGAUCAAACGAUAGAGCAAACGAGAAUAUUAUAAGUGAAGACAAUUCUCUAAUUAAUGAAGGAGAAAAUUUAUGCUCAGCUUAUCUUCCUUCUCAAGAGUAGAUUCAACUUUAAAAGCCCUUUUCCUUUCUUCUCGGAGUGAAGUGCAUGUUUGGUCCGCAAACUAUGAGGCGGGUGACAUUUUGGUUCUCAAACUUUAAUUUACUAUAAUUUUUUGGUCAAACUUUCAGAAUUGUUGCAAUCAAGUCUCGAAACUGAGUUUACGUAAUUAAAUAUUUGACGUAUCGUUAAUGUAAAAGUGAUGUAUCACUUUAUUUUAUUGUUGCAUCAUUAAUCACAAUAUUUUUACAUAACUUUACAUUAAUAAUUUGUCAACAUUUAGUUCGCUUAAUUAGAAUAUAGAACUUAAUUGCAAUGAUUCUAAAAUUUGAAUUAAAAGUUACUAUAUAUUAAAAUUUGAGAACCCAAAUGUCACUUGACUAAUAAUUUUUUUUAAAAAAAUCUUCCGUCUCUUUCAAUUUCUUUGUUCCCUAGACCUAGGGUUAUAAAUAGCACUACAAUAGACGUCUAUUAAUUGCAUAAUUCUACAAGAACCCCAUAUUUGCUACUAUUAAUUCAGAUUGAUUAUUAAAUAUUUUCGCAUUACAUAAUAUAUAGUACAAGAAAUCAUUUUCUGAAGCAUCAUUCAAUUAAAUAGUUCUGAAGCAUUUUUAAUAUAUAAUUAUCAUAUUGCCCUAGAUGUGACUAUUCUCCAUCUAUUUCGCAUAUAAUUAGUUAGGUAUUAUAAUCCUGAUCAGUAAUUUAAUUGUUGCAACGAAGGCUUUCUCUAGGACUUUUUAGACUACUAAGUCUACUGAAUAUUUUUAUUGUAAAAACAGUUAUUCAAAAUUUUUAGGCGGCGGAUGGUUUACCAUUUUUAGAAAAUAGUGAAUGAUUCAUCGCUUUCACAUAUAUAACUUAUAUGUUUUUUACAUUUGAACUCGAAAAAUAAUUUUAUUACUUUGCAGAAAACAGUGAGUGAUGCGGUAAUUCAUUCACCGCAUAUAACUAAUUUUGUAAAUAACUUUCUUACAAAAUUAUUUUUGUAAUUAUAAUAUUCUUUAAGGCUAUUAAUAAAUAAAUUCUUUUCUCUAGUUCACAACAUUGACAUUUGGCAAAAACUGAGUAGUAACUUGUUCCAUUUUAUAUUUUCCUAAAAUUUGAUGGGGUUCGAGCUAAUAAGCAAUGACAAAAUUAGAAAAGCCUAUUUUUCGUUUUCAUACUAUGUUUGAGUUUGUAGCUAGGAAGAGAGCUAUUUGUUAUGAGAAAGUACAGUAAAAAAAAUAUUCUAUUUAUUUUCAUAAGUAAUAACGUGCCAUGCACAUCAAAUCAGACUUAAUAUGUGAAAUUUAAGAUCCCACCGACAAGUAGAGGCAAAUAUGUACAUAUAUGCCCACAAAAUGCAUUAUGGGCAAAAGUGCACCAAGAAAAUUUUAUAUUUAUUUUCAUAAAUGAUAGCUUAUAGUGUUGUUUAGACAUAGGCCAUAUUUGGAUGCAUAAAUAUUGUAUUCUGCAUCUCUUUUUGAUUGCUUCAGAAACUUGUAAUAUUUGAUAGAUAAAAAUGUGACUAAAUGCUAAGAAUGAAUACAAUGAAUACAAUGAAAAUAAGAUAAGUCACCUCGCAAGUAAAAGAUAAUAUGUUACCGGCUUAUUUGGAUGCAUAAAUAUUGUAUUCUGCAUCUCUCUGAAGCAAUUGUAUUCUGCAUCUCUCUUUGAUUGCUUCAGAAGCUUGAAAUAUUUGAUAGAUAAAAAUGUGAUUAAAUGCUAAGAAUGAAUACAGUGUUCAGCUUUUAAAUUAUUUUUUAGGAAUAAGAUAAGUCACCUCACAAGUAAAAGACAUUAUCUUACUAAAUUUUAGACGUCAAAAUCUACUAACGAGGAAAAAUUAAUCAAACUCUUUAACUUUCAAUCAUACUAUAAAAUGUAUUUUUUUUGAGAGAUAGGUACCAUGCUAUCUGCUUCGUUUAUUUUAUUUAGAAAUAAACUUAACUAAAAAUAUAAAUCAACUAGGAUUCGAACCUGGGACCUUAAGUAUCAACCAUUUAAAGCUCUUUGUCACUUGUGCUAGAAAAAGUCGAUAAUCAUACAAUGAAAUGUUCAUACAUAAUUUUGUUAAUUUGAUUUUUAUACACCUAUCGAAACAGAGAGAAUAGCUCCGCCUGUAUCUACCCCAAUUUCUUUUCACCUAAUGAUAAGAUUUUGUGAUGCGAGCCAAUUUGGCGUUAAAGUUCCUAGAAAAACGCAAUUCAACCAAGAUGACUUGAAAAUUUCGUUGAAUUCAGUAAUUUUUACAAUCGGCGCGAUAAAUUUUUAAAUGAUCAUAGCUUUUUAUUCGAGUAUCUGAUUUCAGUGUGCAACCCUAAUUCGAAAAACACUUUUUCGCGUCAAAUGACAUUAAGUUCAGAGAUAUAUUAGGAUUUAUUAUCUUUGUCUAAUAAUAGAAUUGGGAUCUUGCUUUUAUACAUAGGGGUGACAUUGGGUUAAUAUAAUUAGAUUUUUUUUUUUUUUAUGAUUUGAAUAAUAAUAUUUUGUCUUUGUCGAAGAAUUUAAUUUUCGUGUAUCAUCUUUUUUCAUCCUUAUGUUUCUUCUCUCUCAACACGGCUUAAGUCUGCAUUCACUUAAGUUGGAAAAAAUGAAACAAAAUAAGAAUUAGUAAACAAGAUCCUUUUUUUUUUUUUUUUUUUUUUCUUCUCUCUGAGAUAAAGAAAAGUAAAAAGUUUUAAGGCCUGGGAGUGGGGACCAAGUAAGCAUGCAUUAUGAUGCGUGGAGUGCCAGCAGCAGACUGCAAAUUGCCCUGCUCCAGUGCUCCUUGGGGAGCCGGCGGCUGGUUUCGAGCUGGUUAGAAAAUGACUCGUACGGUGGCAUCACUUUUCCGACCAAUAUGCCAUAUAUUCCUGCAGGCAUGGGAGAUGAUACAACUGGUUAUGAUUCGUCUGUAUUGAUACUUAUCUAAAAUAUUUCUAAUUUAUAUGAGAUAAAAAAUAAAAUUUAAAGAUAAAUUUUAUUCUGUUUAAAUUUUUAUUUGUGUGGGAUCCGGUUAGAACAAAAUUGUGAUUAAUAUCUUUCCUAUGCCGUAUAAAUAUAUAAGGUAUUGGCCACAUACGAUAUACAAAAAAAAAAGAAAAGAGAAUAACCUCUCGACCAAAAUGCUCUCUAUCUUGGAUUCACUCUAGGGUAUCAUCAAAAACCCUAGAGAUUUGGACAGUGUGCUGUGAUCGACUUUGAUAGUCAAAUUGGAACGAUAAAGAACAACGCUGAAGACAAAAAUGUUCUAGAAGUCGAGAUAGAUUCUAGAUGGAUCAAGGAGUUCGUAAAACAAGACGACAUCGGAUUUUAAUAAUCACAAUAUAAUUCCGCAGCAAAAAAGUAUGUAAAAUUUAUGUAAUUUUUUUUUUUAUCUUGAUUUGGUUUAUUAAUUUUCCAACAAAUAAUAUUCGGGAAUGUAGUUACACACGUAUUCAAAAGGUUAAAAAGUAACGACCUUAAUUUUCUAUACUACGGAACAUAACAUUUGAAUUGGGUAAGUAAGUUCCAAAUGUGUCGAUUUCACUAAUAAACGUUUUUAAGUCACGCUUGCAUUAAUUACAUAGAUAUUAAUUUUACAGUAUAUAUUAACACCUAAUUUUGAAAGCGAUCGAGCACAAAUUCGAGAGAGAAACGUAGAGGGCUUUGGAGUAGGAUUCAUGCUUCGGUGGACAAUUAUAGUUUUUAGGUGGAUUACUUCGGUGAAAGUACGUAGUACCUUGGCCUCGAUAAAGCUUGCUGAAUGUUAAAUAUAAAAAUGUUUAAACACCACCUUCUAACAGCUUAAACUUUUAGAGUACAACGGUUGUUUUACAUGGUAUUAAAGAAGGAGGUCCUGAGUUCGAGUCACGCCAGACUCCUAGCAUAUUAAUUUUCUUCCAUUUAAUUCAAACUCACGUCAUGGGCCGAUUAAAAAAGGCUCGAGCCCAGACGUAGAGUACAAUGGCUGAAAGCGAAAGGCUUCGGCAAGACCCGAGAAGCCAAGUUUGGAGGACGUAUGAAAGUCCAAUUUCAAACAGUAAGCACUGAUGGAUCUAUAAAAAGGUAUGAUUUUCCAAUUCAAGGAAAUGAUGCAUAACCGCCACAUGAAUGUCGCAAAGUAUUCGUUCGUAUCUUUUGUGGAAGCGACUCGCUCUAAAGUGCAUGAAGUUCUAAAUCAUAGAGAUUGAUUUACGUGUCCUUUAUCGUCCACGAAAGCCUUUUAACGCUCCCAACCUGCGGUAGAUCAAGCUAUGGACAAAUUAGACGUAAAAUUCACUAUUUAAGAUUUUCUAGAAGCAAUAGAUUAAUAAAGAGUAUGGUUUCUCUCUCACGACCGCUGCUAAGUAUACGGAUCAAAACUAAUCAAAUCAAAAUUCAAUUUUUAGUUGAGAAAAUAUACUUAAGUAAAAAAAAUAAUUUUAAAACACAUAAGUAAUAAAAAUGCCCUACACAUGUACUACAAGGCACUUUUUUUUAAUUUACUCCCUUUAUUUUAAUGUUUUUAUUAACAACUUACUAAUUGCCAUUAUAAAGAAGACUAGUUUUAUAAUAAGUUUUUUUUGCAGAAUUAUAAUUAAUUUACUAUUGUCAUAAAAAAUAAAAAUAGAGAAAAUAGUAUUUUAUAUAUGAUAUAUAUAUAUACUAUAUAGUAUAUAUAUAUAUAUUAAUAUAUAUAUACUAUAUAUAUAUAAUAUAAGUCCGGCUACUAUGCUAUCGCUGCCACGAGCGCUCCGUGCCUACCAGAUGUGUUUUCGAUAAUGCGCUUCCCAAAUUCGACGAUCGCGCUCUGUUAGACCUGUUGACUAUUCAACUCAUCUGAAAGUAUUUGGAAGCUAACAUUCAGUUUUUUCGAUAUCGAUUUGACUAGUGAUCCAAAAGAUCUCAAGAUGUGACAAUUUAAUGGCCGAUUGGUGUUUUGUGAGUUUAACGGGUAAAACAAUCCAAUGCGAUGAAAAUGUGUAAUAGAAAAUUUUUUCACUAUUUUUAGUACAAGAUCAAUAUACUGAUUCUUGAAUUUAAAUCUUUUCAUCAUCAUUUUCGUGAGAUUUUUAUUUUCAGCCGUUCAAUCAAUUUAGACUACUUGUUGAUAGUUAAAUAAUAUCGAAAAAAAGUUAUGAAAUUUAAGUUCUAAAUAACUUUCAAUAGUGUAGAUCAAGUCUAACGGAGCCGAAUCGUCGAUUUGGAAGCCGCAUUCAUCGAAAAACUUGGUGAGCACGGAGCGCGUCCGUGCUACUGAUAGUAUAGUAGCCCUAGUUUUAAUAUAAUAUUAUAUUAUAUUAUAUACUAUAUAUAUACUAUAUAUACUUAUCAUAUCGUAGCGUCUCCUGUGCUAUUAGAGGCACGGAGGCCUCCGUGCUCCUAAAGCCGUUUGUCGAUGAUGGAAGUUUUCAAAUUGACGUCCGAUCUGUUAGACUCUGAUCUAACGUAUUUGAACUAUCUACUAGAAAAAUACAAUUUUGCGAUUUAUUCGUAUCAUACUUGUCGAUCGAAGGGUCAAAAUCACGCGGCGAAGAAAAAAAUCUCACAAAAGUGUGACUAUAGCAUUGAAAAUUUUCCGAUCAGCAGAUAUUGCAUCUCACUGUAAAUACGUAUAAAGAAUUUUUUUUAUCAAAUUUACAUCUAAUUUGAAUGCUUCUACACCGUUAAAUACUUGCAAAUGGCAAGUAUGCAACGGCAUUCAAUAAAUAUUAAUUUUGAAGCCCUUUGCGAUCGAAUAGGAGUAAAUAAUAUCGAAAAAGUCGGCAAAAAUUUAUUUUCAGAUUAGCUUCAAAAUAUGCAGAUCAAGUCUAACGGAGCUGAUCGUCGAUUCGGACAGCUCCAUCAUCAAAAAGUGGCUGUAGGAGCACAGAGGCCUCACGUGCUCCUAAUAGCACUACAAGACCUACUAUAUAUAUAUAUAUAUAAAAAAUAAAAAAUAUAAUAUAUAAUAUAUAUAAUAUAUAUAUAUAAUAUAUAUAUAUAUAUAUAUAUAUAUUGUUAGAACAAAUACCGCAACGAAAAUUCGAUUGUGAUUAAAGAUCGAACUAAUUUUAGAUAAAGAUAAAAUCAGACUUACAAAUAAUCGCUAAAUUCCAAAUAAAGAUUUUGAUUGAUCCGGAAACGUGCGAGGCACUGCCCUAAAACGUAUUCCCAUCCUUAUAUGAGGGAUUAACCGGAAAUAAUACCCCAAGGUACGACCGAAAUUCCUCCUCCUGCGAGCACGAUCGUGAAGGAAGUUGACGGAGACUCGUUCAACACCCGAUGAUAAAAAGAUCAAAGCCAAAUAGAUCAAAAUAAUAUAAGAAAAAUAUAUGUCUUCUAAUGUUUCUCUCUGCAAUGUUCAUAUUAUGAACAGUGAAAAAAGUACUAUAUAAAAAGGUGUGAAUAGAACGUUGGAGACCCCCAACAUUCUACUCCAUUAAUUAAUUCCAUUUAAUUCAUGCUUUUAUGUGAAACUAGUUAAGUGCACGUGCAAUGCACGUUGCACAAAUACUAAAAAAUAAAAUUUUUAUAAAUACAUAUUAUAGAUUCGAUACAUAGUAUUUAAUCAUUACCAAAAUAAAAUGACAGAAAUAAGAAAUAGAAUUACAAUAUCAUCAAAAAAAAGAACACGAAUGCAUCUUGGUAUCAUUGAAAAAAAACACAAAAUUUGUCACUAAACUAACUGAAAAUGUCACCAUCAGUUUCCCUUUCGUACAAAUUGCACUGAAAGUAAGAAAAAUAAUAAAGUAAAUAUUAGUAAAUCAUCAGAAUAGAUAAAAUUAAUAAAAAAUAUAAAUUUAAUAAGAAUUCAUAUAAGUAAAAAUUUUUAGCUUAAUUUUAUUUCUUGAGUUUUUGGAAUAGGUGGAUUAAGCACAAUUUUACUCGCAAAACUUUGCUAAAUAAAUUGAUCCUGAUAAAUAAAUUUAAAAUACUACAGAAAAAAUAAAAUAUUAAAUAGUAUAUUUAUCCUAAUUAUCGAUAUUAACGUGCACUGCUGUUAAUAUAACAACUGAAUUGUUUGCAAUAGCCUCUCUCCACAUGCCAAUGUGUGUUAGCACUAUCUUGUUCUAGAGGAUCAAUCUAAUUUGACUCAUACUUCAAUCCAUUCAAAUACUUAGUUAUUAAUAAUUUUUUUCAUGUGAAAUGAUAAAAAGGGAAACACUUUAUCUUCAUGUUUAGGACGAUUAACACCAUACAAAUAAAGAGUGAUUGAUUUGGACAACCAUUCCUAUAACAUCUAAGAAAACUGAAAUAGUAUAGAAGUUAGUAGUAGUGUAAAAGGUGGUGAAGGCGACAAUGUGUCGGCGUCGAUGACGACGAUAACGAUGAGGAAGAUGAUGACGAUAUACUGGUAUCGACAAUGGAGAUAAAUGAGAAAUAAUAUUACUAAAAAAUAUUUGAGAAUAUUUGAGAAAAAUAUGGUAAAAAUAAAAAAAAAUAUUACUAAAAAAAAUAUAUGUUUUAUAUUUGAAAAACAUAUAGAUAAAAAUGAAAAAAUACUAAAAAAAAUAUGCUAAAACAGUAUAAAGGCACAUUAAAAAAAAUUUAGAUAAAAUUAAAAUACCACUCUAACUAUGGCAAAUGCGAUAAUGUGCCGACGGAAGUGAUGUGAUGAUGUACCGGUGUCGACGAUGGAGAUAAAUAAAAAAGGAUAUUAUUAAAAAAAUAUUUGAGAAUAUUUAAGAAAAUAAUAGCAAAAAUGAAAAAAUAUAUUACUAAAAAAAUAUAUACUUAUAUUUGAGAAAUAUAUAAAUGAAAAUGAAAAAUAUCAAAAGAAUACUAAAACAGUAUAAAGGCAUAUUAAAAAAAGCAAAAUUUUCAGAUGGGAUCAAAAUACCUCUUCAAUUAUGCGAAGGCGGCGAAGGUGGCGAAGGCGAUAACGUGUCGGCGCCGGUGAUGAUGAUGACGACGAUGUACCAGUACCAACAACGGAGACAAAUUAGAAAGUAUAUUACAAAAAAAAGUAUUUGAAAAUAUUUUAAAAAAAUAUAGAUAAAAAUAAAAAAACAUAUUACUAAAAAAUAUAUAUUUUAUAUUUGAGAAACGUAUAUGUGAAAAUAAGAAAAAAUUAAAAAAAAAUGCAAAAACAGUUUAAAGGCACAUUAAAAAAAAGAAAAAUUUUCAGAUGGGAUUAAAAUACCUCUUUAAUUAUGACGAAUGUGGCAAACACGACAAUAUACCGGCACAGACAAUGAUGAUGAGUAAUAUGCUGACGAUGUACCGCUGUGACAAAUGAAAAAAUAUAUUACUAAAAAAAUAUAGAUAAAAAUAAAAAUGGAUACUACUAAAAAAUAUAUAAAGAAACGCGUAGGCGAAAUGAGAAAAAUACCAAAAAGAUAUACUAACAAAAAAAAAAUAUGAUGUAAUAUUGUGUGAAUAAAAUUAUGAUGAGAUAAGAUGGAUAGUGUAGAUAUUAUAUGCGAGGUAUUAAGAUAUAUUCUAUAUUGUAGAAUGCGGAGAAUUAUUUGUGGGAUUAUUUAAAUAUUGAAUAUUUUGCAAAAAAAAUUAAAAUUAUAUUUAAUUAACGAUAUUAUUUGAUUGGCGGGUAUUAAUUUAUUUUAAGAAAUAUCUAUGCUUUUAUGAACGCAUUAUGUUAAAUAUUGAAUAAUUUACUAAAGAUAAUUUAAAAUUAUAUUUAAUUAACUAUUUAGUUUUGAUUGGGCGGGUAUUAAUUUUUUUUAGAAAUAUUCUAUGUUUUUAUGACGCAUUAUUUAAAUAUUGAAUAUUUUAUUAAAAAUAUUUAAAAUUAUAUUUAAUUAACGAUUUAGUUUUGAUUUUGGGGUAUUAAAAUUUUUUUAGCAAUAUUUAACACUUCUAUAGCGCGCCAAAUUUUAAUACUCAUCAAAAUUAAUUAAAUCUACUAUCUUAUGUAAAGAAAAAUUUACUAUUAUGAAUUGAAAUUCAAAUUAUCAAAUUCGCGGAUAUUAAAUUUUGGCGGGCAUUACAAAUUUAAAAUUUAAUUUUGAAUAUUAUGUAAUUGACAAGUAUUAUGUUUGAGAAAAAAAAAUAUUUGAGAAAACGCUUGAAUAGAAAUAAAUUUAAUUUUACGUAUUAUGUGAUUAGCGGAGGUAUUACGUGAUUGUCGGGUAUUACGCUAGAUAAGAGAUAAAUUUAGUUUUACGUAUUAUAUGAUUGGUGGGUAAAAUAAAAAAAAAUUUGAGAAACGCGGCGUAGAUAGGAGAUAACGGAUAUUGAGGAUAUUUUUGUCAAUAAAAAUGACAGAUACUUUUAUUUUUAUUCAUUGGAUGAGAUCCAAUGGCGAAAAUUUAAUAUUUAUAUUUGAGAAUAAAUUAUUAUUUGAAGAUUUAUUUAAAAUGUAUAAGAUAUAUUCUAUAUUUGAGAACAUAGAGAAUAUUUCGGUGGGUAUUAUUUAAAUAUUAAAUAUUUUGCUAAAAAUAUUUAAAAUUAUAUUUAAUUAACGAUUUAGUUUUGAUUGAAAUAUUCUAUACUUUUAUGACGCAUUAUUUAAAUAUUGAAUAUUUUGCUAAAAAUAUUUAAAAUUAUAUUUAAUUAACGAUUUAGUUUUGAUUGGGCGAGUAUUAAUUUUUUUUAAAAAUAUUCUACACUUUUAUGACGCAUUAUUUAAAUAUUGAAUAUUUUGCCAAAAAUAUUUCAAUAUAAUUAAUGAUUUAGUUUUGAUUUGAGGGUAUUAAAAGUUUUUUGACAAUAUUUAACGCUUCUAUGAUGCGCCAAAUUUUAAUACUCAUCAAAAUUAAAUUUACUAUCUUAUGUAAGAAAAAAUCUACUAUUAUAAAUUAAGAUUCAAAUUAUCAAAUUCGAGGGUAUUAAAUUUUGGCGGGUAUUACAAAUUUAAAAUUUAAUUUUGAAUACUACGUAUUGGCAGGUAUUACAUUUGAAAGGAAAAAAUAUUUGAGAAAACACGUUGAUAGGAAAUAAAUUUAAUUUUACGUAUUACGUGAUUAGCGGAGGUAUUACGUGAUUGAUAGGUAUUACGUUAGAUAAGAGAUAAAUUUAGUUUUACGUAUUACAUGAUUGAUGGGUAAAAAGAAAAUAUUUGAGAAACGCGGCGUAGAUAGGAGAUAACGAAUAUGGAGGGUAUUAAUGUCACAAAAAGUGACAGAUACUUUUAUUUUCAAUCGUUAAAUAAGAUCUAAUGGCAAAAAAUUAAUAUCUUUAUUUGAGAAUAAAUUAUUACUUAGUGAAUUAUUUGAAAUGAUUGGUUGAAAAUUACUGGAUAUGAAAAUAUUAGUAAAAAGGAUAGAGGCAUUUUUGGAAAGAGGAAACAAUUCAAAACUCACGCUUUUAUAAGUAGUAUAGAUAAAGAAGGAAUAAAUUAAAUUUAAUCCAUCUAAUUAAUUAACAUAAUAAAAGACAAUAAAUGAGAAUAAUUAUAAAAUUAAAUGAUAUUUAGAGAUUUUGAAUUUUUCACCAAUAUAAACAAUGGGAUUUUGCUACUAACAGUAACCCAGUCCAACUCAUAUAGAAUUAGGCUGGAAUACUAUUAAUAGUAAAACGCUCUUUUUGCUAUCAAGUUUUUAACCCUUGGAUGAAAAAUUNNNNNNNNNNNNNNNNNNNNNNNNNNNNNNNNNNNNNNNNNNNNNNNNNNNNNNNNNNNNNNNNNNNNNNNNNNNNNNNNNNNNNNNNNNNNNNNNNNNNNNNNNNNNNNNNNNNNNNNNNNNNNNNNNNNNNNNNNNNNNNNNNNNNNNNNNNNNNNNNNNNNNNNNNNNNNNNNNNNNNNNNNNNNNNNNNNNNNNNNNNNNNNNNNNNNNNNNNNNNNNNNNNNNNNNNNNNNNNNNNNNNNNNNNNNNNNNNNNNNNNNNNNNNNNNNNNNNNNNNNNNNNNNNNNNNNNNNNNNNNNNNNNNNNNNNNNNNNNNNNNNNNNNNNNNNNNNNNNNNNNNNNNNNNNNNNNNNNNNNNNNNNNNNNNNNNNNNNNNNNNNNNNNNNNNNNNNNNNNNNNNNNNNNNNNNNNNNNNNNNNNNNNNNNNNNNNNNNNNNNNNNNNNNNNNNNNNNNNNNNNNNNNNNNNNNNNNNNNNNNNNNNNNNNNNNNNNNNNNNNNNNNNNNNNNNNNNNNNNNNNNNNNNNNNNNNNNNNNNNNNNNNNNNNNNNNNNNNNNNNNNNNNNNNNNNNNNNNNNNNNNNNNNNNNNNNNNNNNNNNNNNNNNNNNNNNNNNNNNNNNNNNNNNNNNNNNNNNNNNNNNNNNNNNNNNNNNNNNNNNNNNNNNNNNNNNNNNNNNNNNNNNNNNNNNNNNNNNNNNNNNNNNNNNNNNNNNNNNNNNNNNNNNNNNNNNNNNNNNNNNNNNNNNNNNNNNNNNNNNNNNNNNNNNNNNNNNNNNNNNNNNNNNNNNNNNNNNNNNNNNNNNNNNNNNNNNNNNNNNNNNNNNNNNNNNNNNNNNNNNNNNNNNNNNNNNNNNNNNNNNNNNNNNNNNNNNNNNNNNNNNNNNNNNNNNNNNNNNNNNNNNNNNNNNNNNNNNNNNNNNNNNNNNNNNNNNNNNNNNNNNNNNNNNNNNNNNNNNNNNNNNNNNNNNNNNNNNNNNNNNNNNNNNNNNNNNNNNNNNNNNNNNNNNNNNNNNNNNNNNNNNNNNNNNNNNNNNNNNNNNNNNNNNNNNNNNNNNNNNNNNNNNNNNNNNNNNNNNNNNNNNNNNNNNNNNNNNNNNNNNNNNNNNNNNNNNNNNNNNNNNNNNNNNNNNNNNNNNNNNNNNNNNNNNNNNNNNNNNNNNNNNNNNNNNNNNNNNNNNNNNNNNNNNNNNNNNNNNNNNNNNNNNNNNNNNNNNNNNNNNNNNNNNNNUGCUAUAUCACCACUUUUUAUGAGAUUUUUAUUUUCAGCCGUUAAUUUUGAACCCUUUCGAUCGUUAGGUAAAUGAUAUCGAAAAAUCGCAAAAUUUAUUUUCUAGUUACUUCAAAUAUGCUAGAUCAAAUCUAACAGAGCCGAUCGCCGAUUCGAAAAUUCUAUAAUCGAAAACGGCUUAGGAGCACGGAGGCUUCCGUGCUCCUAAUAGCACACAAGACCUACUCUACAUAUAUAUAUAACUAGGCUGGAAUACUAUUAAUAGCACUAAUAACUUGGUGUUAUUAAGUUUUCUGUCCUUUAAUUAAAAGAUGUGCGGUUAGGAUGAUAUGGGCCCCCUAGCAUUGAGUAGGUAGUUAGUUAAAUAGUAUAAUCGAACGGAUGAAAAUGAUAAAAGAGGUAAAUCUAACGGCAGAAAACUUGAUAGCACCAAAUGGUUCGUGCUAUCGAUAGUACCCCAGCCGGACUCUCUCUCUCUCUCUCUCUCUCUCUCACUGUGUGUAUAUAUAUAUAUAUAUAUAUAUAUAGAGUUCGGCUACUAUACUAUUAUGAGUACGAUCGCUCUCGUACUCAUAAGUUGUUUUCGUUAAACGUUAAACAACGUUAAACGUUAUAUCUAGAGCAUUUGAAAUAUCCAGAAAUCAAAUUUCAUAAUUUUUCGACAUCAUUUACCUUACGAUCAAAAGCUCACAAAAUUGACAAUUUUUAACGGCCGGUAUGAAAUACUUGCUAGUUUAAUGGUGCAAAAGAAUCCGAAUAGGUUGAAUUUUUUAUAGAAAAUUCUAUUCACUACCUAGAUAAAGAUCAAUAACUCCGAUCUGAAAUUGAAGGAUCCGAUCAUCCUUUUUAAGACAUCGUUCGAUUUUGACCGUUCAUUUUAUGCUCGCUUGAUGGGCUUUAUUAUGAUUUUGAAAAAUUACGAAAUUUAUUUUCUAGAAGUUUCAAAUACUCUAGAUCAUAUUUAACGGAGUGGAUCGUCGAUUCGGAAGCUCCUUCAUCGAAAAGAACUUAUGAGUACGAAGGGCCCAAUACUGAUAAAUAGUAUAGUAACCCUACUCUAUAUAUAUAUAGAGUACGAUCGCACUUGUACUCAUAAGUUGUUUUUGAUAAUAGAGCUUCCGAAUCGACGAUCCACACCGUUAAACGUUAUCUAGAGCAUUAAAAUCAAAAUUUAUAAUUUUUCAACAUCAUUUACUUUACAAUUAAAAGGUCACAAAAUUGACAAUUUUUAACGGUUGGUAUGGGAUAUUUGCUAGUUUAACGGUGUACAAGAAUCGAAAUUGGUUGAAUUUUUUUAUAGAAAAUUCUUACAUGAAAGAAUGCCACUUACUUGCAUGGUUACUAUGUACAUAUCUCUCUACUACAUAGAGGUAAAAUUGUAUGAUACAUAAUGUAUGCAUUUUAAGCAUUCUAAAAUUUCCAUAUGCUCUAUCUAGUAUGAUAUGUAUGAUUUUUUAUUUUACAAUAAAGAAUAUAACAUAGGGGGAGUUCAUCCAUUUCGGUGAGGUCAAACCCACCGGAUCUCCUUGCAACCCUUUUAUUUGCGCGAACGAAUGUGCCCAUAAGUCUCCUAACUUCCUAGAGAAAAUUCUAAGAGGGUUAAACGAAAUGAACGAACACCACACGCGUUCAUCUUUAACCAACCCAACAUUAGGUCAAAACUCACCUUAUAUGGUGUAGAACUCUUCCAGACCUCAAAUGGUGGCUAGGAUCCUUCUAAUCCAACCUAAAAUGAAGUUCUACACCCAUCAAUUAAGUCCCAAAAGCUACAAAUCAAAAGCUCCCAAAUAAAACCCUAAAUUCUCAUUUCUAUGUUUUCAUCUCUAAAAAUCCAACAAAACAUGAUCUAAAAGGAAGAUCAAAGCUACUGACCUCUCUUGAAGCCCCAAACCAAACUAGGAGUGAGUUAGGGUUAAAAAUCUUUCCUCAAGAAAGCUCCACUCUCCAAUCCAAGGCUUCUCCAAUCGUGAAAAUUCAACAUGAAGCAAGAGGAGAGGAAAAGAGAUCAAUCCAAACAAAAACCUCAAGAAAAGAGAGAAAUCCAAGGGAGGGGAGCUCUACCUGUGCUCUCCACAGUUUAGGGCUCAAAAGAGCUCUCUAAGGUUGUGAGGUGUUAUAUAGAGUAGCUACAAUAGCAAAAACACCCCUUCAAAAUAAGCAGUCUGCGGACUGCCCUGCGUACCAGUGACACGGGGAAAAGUACCGGUACCAAGCUGCUGAGCUCGCCAAACCUGAGCCUCGGUCAAGCAGGAAAACACACUGCAUACCGGUACCAGGUCCAGUACCGGUACUCGGGCAAUACAUUACCGGUACUCUGCCUCGCAGAGCUCAAACCCGAGAGCUCUCCUCUCGGUUACGCAACGCCAUUCCGGUACCUCUUCUCUGGUACUAGUAUCGGUACCAGCACCCGAAAACCUACAGCUUGAAGGUUUUGGUGCUAAGUACUCAUCCUCGCUCCUCAAGACGCGAGUAAUGGGUCGGAUCACCGUCAACGACCCUUCAGAAAAUCUGGAAAAGCUCAGAACACUAAUCAAACACUCGAAUCUUACAAUUUGCUAAAGUUCAAUGUAUUACAUUCUCCCCUCCUAAAAGGGAGUUUUGUUCGCGAAACUGGAAUUCGCAUUUCUCAAGCCUCCAUCUGAAAGCGAUGGGGAUAGCGCUCCUGCAGUGCGCUCUCCAACUCCUGCGUAGCCUCUCGCUCAUCGUGGUUGCUCCAAAGAACCUUCACAUAAGGAAUAUCGCGAUUUCGAAACUUCUUCACAUCGCGGGCCAAAAUCCUCACUGGCUGCUCUUCAAAGCUCAAGUCCUCCCAUAACUCCAAUGGCAAAGCAUCCUAAACAUGAGUCGGGUCGAAGAUGUACUUUCGGAGGAUCGAAACAUGAAAGACAUUGUGCACUCCCGAUAGGUUCGGCGGUAGAGUAAGUCGAUAUGCUACCGGGCCUUCACGCUCCAAAAUCUCAUACGGUCUAAUAAACCGGGGGCUCAACUUACCCCGAAUACCAAAUCUUUUAAUUCCCUUAGUCGGCGAGACCUUUAAGAAUACAUGAUCUCCGACUUGGAAUUCCAAAUCUUGCCGAUGCUUAUCAGCGUAGCUCCUCUGUCGGCUUUGAGCUGUCAACAAACACUCCCGAGCAAUGCGAACUUUAUCCUCAGUUUCCUGGAGUACAUCGGGGCCUAAAGUCAGUCUCUCGCCAACUUCACUCCAAUGAAGAGGUGAUCUACACUUUCGUCUAUAAAGUGCUUCGAAAAGUGUCAUCUUCAUGCUUGCUUCAUAACUAUUGUUAUAAGCAAACUCUGCCAUCGGUAAAUGCUGUGACCAUCCUCCUUGGAAGUUUAUCACGCACGCUCGAAGCAUAUCCUCUAGAGUCUGAAUAGUGCGUUCCGAUUGCCCAUUACUCUGAGGGUGAAAAACCGUACUGAAAUCCAAAUGCGUACCCAAGGUAUCCUGCAGACUCCUCCAAAAAAGGGAUACAAAUCGGAGAUCUCGAUCUGAAACUAUUGAAGUAGGUGCCCCGUGAAGUUGUACAAUCUCAUCAAGAUAUACCUGUGCAAGUCUCUCACCUGUCCAAGUCGUGUGAAUAGGAAUAAAGUGAGCCGACUUCGUCAAUCUAUCCACGAUCACCCAAAUAGCAUCAUGCCCGGCUUGUGAGUGAGACAAUCCCAUAACAAAAUCCAUAAUGAUCCUUUCCCACUUCCACACGGGAAUAAGUAAACUUUGAAGUUUCCCAGCGGGUAAUCGGUGCUCAGCUUUCACUUGUUGACAAGUUAGACAUCGAGCUACAAACUCGCCAACAUUCUUUUUCAUCCCGGGCCACCAAUACAAUAACCUCAAGUCCUUGUACAUCUUGGUGCCUCCCGGAUGUAUAGCAUAAGAUGCAUGAUGAACUUCAAGAAGAAUAUCCUCUUUAAUUCCUGAUUCCGCCGGUAUACAAAUCCGCUCGCGGAAACGCAACAACACUUGGUCGUCCACAAGAAAAUCACCGGUGCAACCGUCAGCCAUUUUAGUUCGAAUCUUUUGCAACUCCACAUUAUGAACUUGCAUUUCUUUAAUCCUUUCCAACAAUGUUGGUUGCACCACCAAAGCCAUCAAUCUCAAGGGUGUAUCAGGAGCCACCACUUUCAACUCCAACCGUUUCAUUUGCUCAAUCAACGGGGGUUGUGUGGCUACAAGCAUCGCUAAGUUUUCCAUCGAUUUCCGACUUAGCGCAUCCGCCACCACGUCAGCCUUACCCGGGUGGUAGAGAGUCGUCAAAUCAUAAUCCUUGAGUUGCUCCAACCAUCUGCGCUGCCUCAAGUUCAACUCCUUCUGAGUGAAUAAAUACUUUAGGCUCUUGUGAUCCAUGUAUACUUCGCACCGCUCGCCAUAAAGAUAAUGUUGCAAUAGCUUUAAUGCAAAAACUACGGCCGCCAACUCCAAAUCAUGCGUAGGAUAGUUCUUUUCAUAUUCCUUCAAUUGGCAAGAUGCAUACACGAUCACUUUUCCGUCUUGCAUCAAGAUACAACCCAAUCCGUUAAAGGAAGUAUCACUAUAAAUCACAUAUCCUGCUCCUGCAAUAGGCAAGGUUAGGAUCGGGGCGGUCACCAACCGAUCCUUCAACUCUUGAAAGCUCUUCUCGCACGCAUCAUUCCAAAUCAAAUUGGUGCCUUUGUGCGUGAGCCGCGUGAGGGGAGUAGAUAAUUUUGCAAACCCCUCAACAAAUCUCCGAUAGUAACCGGCCAAUCCAAGGAAGCUCUGAAUUUCCGUGACAGUCAUCGGUCUAGGCCAAUCCUUGAUAGCUUCAAUCUUUCUAGGGUCCACGGCUAUACACGACCUCAAGAUCAAAUGUCCCGAAAAUGCAACUUCUUGAAGCCAAAAUUCACAUUUCUUCAGCUUGACAAAGAGCUUCUUUUCCCGAAGCAUUUGAAGUACAAGUCUUAAAUGCUCCUCGUGAUCCUUAUCACUUCGGGAAUAAACCAAAAUAUCGUCGAUGAACACCACGACGAAUCUGUCUAUAUAAGGCUUAAAAACACGGUUCAUUAGAUCUAUAAAAGCUGCCGGGGCAUUGGUAAGCCCAAACGGCAUAACAGUGAACUCUUAAUAUCCAUACCGUAUUCUAAAAGCCAUUUUCGACACAUCCUCAGGUUUGAUCUUUAACUGGUGAUAUCUCGACUGCAAGUCAAUCUUGGAAUACACCUUAGAUCCUUGAAGCUGAUUAAACAAAUCAUCAAUCCUCGGCAACGGAUACUUGUUCUUGAUCGUGACUUUAUAGAGCUCACGAUAAUCCACGCACAAGUGAAGUGAUCCGUCCUUCUUCUUCAUGAACAAAACUGGUGCUCCCCAAGGCGAGACGCUCGGUCGGAUGAAACUUUUAUCCAGUAAAUCCUGCAACUGUGCCCUCAGCUCUUUCAACUCAGCCGGUGCCAUCCUAUAGGGUGCCUUUGAGAUUGUAGUAGUCCAAGGAACGAGAUCUACCACAAACUCAAUCUCUCUAUCAGGCGGCAUGCUUGGUAGCUCCGCUGGAAACACAUCACAAAACUCCCGUACUACCGCCGGGAUAUCCUCAAUCCUAAGGGUGUCAUCACCACCCCUCAGCACAACACUAGCCAAGUAGGCCGUACAACCCAUGCUGAUCAACUGUCUAGCUCGAGACGAGCUGAUCGUCAUCGCAAACAGCGAACUCUGACAUCCCCUGAACACCACUUUCUCCUCCCCCGGUUCUCUAAAAAUUACCAUUCUAUUCUUGCAAUUGAUAAUGGCGAAAUACUUGGUAAGCCAAUCCAUGCCCAAAACCACAUCAAACUCUCCAAGUUUGUGCAAUGUAAGCAGAUCCAUGGGCAUGAUCCAAUCUCCUACCCGAACAGGGCAACUGGGGCAAAACUCCCGAAUGUCCAACGUGUGGUCGGGCACAACAACACGUUUAGGAUGCAACAAAGAUACAAAUGGGAUGCCAUGCAACUCGGCAAACAGCCGAUUUAUGAAUGAAUGCGAUGCACCGGUAUCAAAUAAUGCUCGAACUCUAAUGCUAUUUAAUAAAAUAAUACCUGCCACCACAUCCUCGGCGGCUGCCGCCUCCACUGUCUGGGCCGCGUACAUAAGUCCGCUCGGGGCCUGUCGUGACCCCUCAGUCUGUCUCUGGACGGGCGGCCGCCCAGUCUGGUGGUAAGUAGAAGGAGUCCCCUGGCUAGGACCCGGUGAAGCCGGUGCCAAUGCAGGCGAUGGCGCUGGAAUAGAGCCCCUCGGGCAAUUAGUAUGAAAAUGGCCCUCUUGGCGACAUAAGUAGCACCUGCCCUGAUGUCGUGUGCACUGUCGUGGAGGAUGAGAACCACCGUAGAUCACACAAUGCGGAGUCUGGGGAUGAUCAAAACCUCCGCGCUGCGCGGCCGAGCCGCACCCUCACGACUGGCUCUUGGGAUGUCUCGGCAGCCUCCUAGAGCGCGUCUGACUCGCACCCUCAGCCGCGGGCCUCUUACCCUUACCCUUGUCCAAGCCCUCUCGGCGCUCCUGUACAUCCGUCGUGCCACUUUCCACAAUGAGUGCGCGGUUCACCACAUCUCGAUAGGUCUAGAGGUUAGAGGAUUGCACAAACUGAAAAAUUGAUGGCCGAAAUCCACGCUCAAAAAUGCAGGCCUUGUCUUCGUCAUCCCGCACGACGAAAUGCACACAAUGCAAGAGUCAGAAGAACACCCGCUCGUACUCUGCCACAGUCCGAUCCCCCUGGUGCAAGCCGUGCAUAUCUAUUUCCAUCUGUCUUUUGACGCUAUCCGGGGAAUACAUGGACACAUCAAAAGCUCCUUAAACCACCUCCAAGAAAUAGCUGAUAGAUCGGUGUUGGGGUUAUCUCGAAUGUCCAACCACCAACGAUAGGCCUCGCCGUCAAGAUGGUGAGUAGCGAGCCAUACCCUAUCACGCUCCUCUACAAAGGUGUCGUGGAAUAAUUUCUCCAUAUGUAUAAGCCACUUCUCCAUGAUCUAGUGGUCCACUUUCUCCGCGUUGAAGAUCCGUAGGUUGCACCUCCUGAACUCGUUGAGGCGAUCCAUAAGUCGGUCUUGCUCCGCUCCCUCAACCAUCACCGAAAAAAUCGCUCCCGCCAAAGACACCUGAGCUGGUGGUGCCACAAAAACCUCCUCUCGAGGCUCAACAAUAGACGCCGCUCGCGGAACACCGGGCACGGGGGACGGCGCCCUCGUGCCACAUCCUCAACCGGUGCUGGUGGUGCGGGAACCUGAGCCUCCCUAGCAGCAGCCUGCUGAAGCAACAAGUCCUCCAGUCGCUUCAUCCGUGUCUCCUGUCGGUGCCCCACAUCGGCCUGCCGCUGCCCCGUCGCUGCCUGCUGAGCCACUAAAUCAGUGAGGACCGCAAGCUGGGUCCUCAAAUCUCGAACCUCACUAGAUCCGAAGGUAGCGUAGGUCUCCACCUCCUCAAGGUUUGCCGCAUUCUCCGCCCCAACUGAUUUAGAGCAAGUAGUUGGCAUGAUCACUACAAAAGCAUAAAAGCGCAAAUUAGUAAAACCCACGUUAUCGCAACCCCACUCAAAUAGAAUAAGACUCCCAAUCAUGCAAAAGUAAAGAAGUGUCUUUUACUACUAACUCCCGAUGUUACGUUGUUGGCCGCCAACGUAACCCUUCGCGAAGCUAGAAGCUAUACACUUCGAUUAAACUCCAACUUUUUAGAGUUAUCAUAAAACCCAAUCGUGAUACUUUCGCUUACAAGUCAAAUAGACCUCGUCUCUCACGAGCCUAUUUCCUAUAGUCCAAUCGGCCUAAGGUUUGCUAGGUCCACUAAGACUCAACCCUAGGCUGUGAUACCAAAAUAAUCUGUCACGCCCCGGGGCCCAGCGGAAGCCCGCCUGGCGCGUGUCCAGACUCGCCAUAUGCCUACAACAUAUAAGGCGUCUACAACAAUAGUAUAUGAAAAUAAGAAAGAUGAAGCAUCUAAUAGGAUAUCAGAGCAUAAAGACAUCUAUAUUCUAGCAACAAGUAGAAUGAAAAGGGCUAAACAACUAGCAUAAAUUAUAAAAUAACCAUACAACUGAGAUCCAUGAACAUAACGCUAAAUACAAAAAUAAUGGUCUCUAUACAUAGGGUACAAAAAAUCUCUCUCUCUUUCCAACUAGAACCAAAAGAGAGAUGACCACCUAGAGCAAUAAUCCUCGCUGUCUAGCUAAACGCGACCCCUUUGCCGCGGUCCCUAGGCUCUCCCGGUGCGGGUGGUUCUGAAAUAAAAACAUCAACAUAGAGGGCAUGAGAACUAUUAAUCAAUAGUUCCCAGUGGGUAAGCCGCCGACCUCAGCGAAAUACACCACUAGGUUAUAGAGGCAAGUAGUAAAAGUAAAUUGCAAUAAACAACAUAAAUAGUCAACAACUAUAACUUGCUAAGCUACUAUGCCUCAAAUAAGCAUGAUGUUCUUCAAGUAACAUUACUACUCUAUCAUGAUGAGUAUGUCGAACACAUGUCUACUAGAAUGCACUAGGCAUGUCCAAUAUGUCCGAUAGUAUGCACUAAGCAUGUCACUAUAUGCACCAAGCAUGUCACUAUAUGUACCAAGCAUGUCCGAGGAAUCCAACUACUAUAUACUAUCUAGUAGUGAUUGUCACAUUAACGGUUUACAUAUCAUUUUCCAAAUCCAAUUUAGGACUUACACGAGUGUAGUCUGGCUUGUGCCGCCUAAUGGCCUCGGGUAGUCCAGCAUUUUUUCGUAGGAAUGUGACUGUUCCACGGCGACCCAGUAGAGAACCCAAUACCGCACGGCGAGCAUAUGUCGUAUAGGCCAACUCCGGAGUGCCGGCUUGUGGGGAACGACCCUCACAAGCAUGUGCGAAUGAGCACAUAUGGCAAGCAAGCAUAAUCAUUAUCUCGAGUAUCCGGUCAUCAUGUCUCAAAUAUGGUAUAAAUACUAGCAACCCAAAGAUCUAGUUCUAUGUCAUAAUAUAAAGGUUUAACCGUUUACUAAGUCUAAUGCCAUUUUAUGACAUUAUGUUUUACUAUGUCAAUAUAUAUUCCAAGUCCAAUGUCAUUUUAUGACAUUAUGUUCACUAUGUCCAUAUAUGAGUUUUAAGUCCAAGAGCAUGUUAUACUUAUCAUUUUCACUAAAUGAAACAUGAUUUCAAGCCAUAUAAAAGAAUGCCACUCACUUGCAUGGUUACUAUGUACAUAUCUCUCUACUACAUAGAGGUAAAAUUUUAUGAUACAUAAUGUAUGCAUUUUAAGCAUUAUAAAAUUUCCAUAUGCUCUAUCUAGCAUGAAUAUGCAUGAUUUUUUAUUUUACAAUAAAGAAUAUAAUAUAGGAGGAGUUCACCCAUUUCGGUGAGGUCAAACCCACCGGAUUUCCUUGCAACCUUUUUAUUUGCGCAAACGAAGGUGCCCACAAGCCUCCUAACCCCCUAGAGAAAAUUCUAAGAGGGUUAAACGAAAUGAACGAACACCACACACGUUCAUCUUUAACUAACCCAACAUUAGGUCAAAACUCACCUUGUAUGGUGUAGAACUCUUCCAAACCUCAAAUGGUGGCUAGAAUCCUUCUAAUCCAAUCUAAAAUGAAGUUCUACACCUAUCAAUUAAGCCCCAAAAGCUACAAAUCAAAAACCCCCAAAUAAAACCCUAGAUUCUCAUUUCUAGGUUUUCAUCACUAAAAAUCCAACAAAACAUGAUCUAAAGGGAAGAUCAAAGCUACUGACCUCUCUUGAAUCCCCAAACCAAGUUAGGAGUGAGCUAGGGUUAGAAAUCUUUCCUCAAGAAAGCUCCACUCUCUAAUCCAAGGCUUCUCCAAUGGUGAAAAUCCAACAUGAAGCAAAGAGAAGAGGAAAAGAGAGAUCAAUCCAAGCAAAAACCUCAAGAAAAGAGAGAAAUCCAAGGGAGGGGUUCUCUACCUAUGCUCUCCACGGUUUAGGGCUCAAAAGAGCUCUCUAAGGCUAUGGGGUGUUAAAUAGAGUAGCUACAAUAGCAAAGACACCCCUCCAAAACAAGCAGUCUGCGGACUGCCCUGCGUACCGGUGACACCGGAAGAGUACCGGUACCAAGCUGCUGAGCUCGCCAAACCCGAGCCUCGGUCAAGCAGGAAAACACACUGCGUACCGAUACCCGCGCGAUGCAGUACCGGUACCAGGUCUAGUACCGGUACUCGAGCAAUGCAGUACCGGUAGUCUGCAUCGCAGAGCUCAAACCCGAGAGCUCCCCUCUCGAUUAUGCGACGCCGUUCCGGUACCCGUUCUCUGGUACCGAUACCAGCACCCCAAAACCUACAGUUUGAAGGUUUUGGUGCUAAGUACUCAUUUUUGCUCUUUAAGACGCGAGUAAUGGGUUGGAUCAUCGUCAACGACCCUCCAGAAAAUCUGAAAAAACUUAGAAUACUAAUCAAACACUCGAACCUUACAAUUUGCUAAAAUUCAGUGUGUUACACGAACGAACUAGAAAUAUACCUUUGCAUAAAACUUAUCAAAGAAAAAUAAUUUCUGACUGAGGAUAUAUAUUAAAUUUUGUGACCUUUUGAUCGUAAGAUAAAUGAUGUGAAAAAAUUAUAAAAUUUGAUUUCUAGAAGUUUUAAAUGCUCUAGAUAACGUUUAACGAUAUGGAUCGUUGAUUCAGAAGCUCUAUCAUCGAAAACGACUUAUAAGUACGAGGGCGAUCGUAUAUAGUAGCUGGACUCUCUCUCUCUCUCUCUCUCUCUCUCUCUCUCUCUCUCUCUUUCUAUAUAUAUAUAUAUAUAUAUAUAUAUAAUUGAGCUUCUAUANAAUAGUACCAACCCCUUGGUACUAUUAAGUUUUCGGCCGUUGGAUAAAAGGAUGUGCGGUUAGGAUGAUAGUGGUCCCCGGUUAAAUUGAUAGUGGUCCUCUAGGGUUGAGUGGGUGGUUGGUUUAAUAGUAUAAUCUAACGGGUGGAAAUGAUCAAAUGAUAGAUUUAACGGUAGAAAAUUCAAUAGUACCAAGGGCUUGGUACUAUUGAUAGUAUAGUAGCCGGACUAUAUAUAUAUAUAUAUAUAUAUAUAGUUAGGCUCCUGCACUUUCGAAAGCAUGGAGGCCUCCGUUUUUGUAAGUUAUUUUUGAUGAUAGGACAUCCGAUUCGAUAAUCGGCUCCGUCAGAUAUGAUCCACGAUAUUAGAACUAGUUUGAAGUCAAAUUUUAUAAUUUUUUUUAUUUCAUUUGCCUAAUGAAUGAGUAACCUCAAAAUGAACGGCUGAAAAUAAAAAUUUCAUAAAAAUAGUAAUAAAUGUUCAAAUUUCAAAUCGGAAGUGUUGAUUUUGCUCUUGAUGUUAAGUAAAAUUUGCUAUUAAAAUUUUAUAUAAUUUGGAUUCUUGUAUACCAUUGAACUUACAAACGUGCCACAUCAGUCAUUAAAAUAGUCAGUUUUGAGACCCAUUGAUUAUUUGGUAAAUGAUGUUGAAAAAUUACAAAAUUUAGUUUCUAAAUUAUUCUAAUAGAGUAAAUCAUAUUUAACUAAGCCAAUCGUCGAAUUAGAUGUCUCAUCAUCAAAACCAACUUAUAAGUAUGGAGGCCUUCAUGCUUUGGAAAGCGCCAGAGACGUACUGUAACGCCCCCAAUAGUCCCACAUCGGAUGGGAUACUGAUUCCGAUAAAUUUAUAUGAGGCCUACACGCUAGUAAUAAUAACUGAGCUUAAGCAUUUUGGGCGGGUGGUUUGGACCCAACGAGUUAUUGUUGCUACCAGGUCGGGUCGUUACAAUUGAUUGGAAUCAGUAUCCCAUCCGAUGUGGGACUAUUAGGAGCGUUACACGUACUCUCUCUCUCUCUCUCUCUCUCUCUCUCUCCUUCUCGGUCUACUACUAAAUAGCUACCUAUAUAGUACGGUGAUAUCUAUACUUAUAUAUAUAAUGCGAGGGCUGCUGUGCUCUCAGAAGCAACGGAGGCCUCCGGGUGCACUGAGCCCGUUUUCGACUGAUGGGAGUUUUCGAGAUUGAGACUGGCUCCGUUUAAACUUGACUCAUAUUUGAAGUUUCUAGAAAACUUUUAAUUUUUUGUGAUUUUCGAUACAUUUACUAGCAAUCGAUAAGGGAUUCAAAUCAAUAUAUUUAAACGGCUGAAAAUAAAAAUUCCUUACGUUAAAAAGUGGUGGAUGAUAGCAGUAAAAUUUUCGAUCGAGAAAUCAUUGAUCUUGUGUGUAGAUAGUAUACAAGGAAUUUUGUAUCAAGAAUUUCAGUCUGAUUUGAAUACUCUCUACACGUAACUUGAAACGACAUUAUAACCAACAUUUACAAAGAGUUAUGGAUUCUUGAAUCUUUCGAUCACUAGAGUAAAUGAUAUAAAACAGAAUCGCAAAAAUUAUUUUUCUAGGAACUUUAAAUGUGCCUAGAUCAAAGUCUAACGGAGGGCCGAUCGUCGAUUCGAAACAGUUCUCUCAUCGAGAAACACUCAGGAGGCACGGAGGGCUCCGUGUCAUGAUUUAUUUUCUUGGGUGUUUGAAAACAGAGAUGAAUGUUUAUUUUUUAUUCUUUCCUUUGGUGGUAAUUUGAUCACUAAGCUUCUGCGUAGAUUUUGAAAUUUUAUGUUCAAGUGAGGGCCAUAGCGUAUUUUGUGGGUGCAUUUUUUUCUUUGGAGAGACUGCAAUAAUCGCAUUAUCAUUUCAAACAACCGAUGCGUGGAUAACGCGAUGUGGCAAUCGAAUGUAGGCUAUGUAAUCAUCCCUUGGUAUUAUUUUUCUGGAAUUAUAUUGACCAGUGUCAUCUCUAUAAUUUUUUUUUUGCCUUCUUAAAAAUACUUGGCUGUUGAACUUACUUAUCAAGCUCUUUUUUUCAAUUAUAAAUAUUAUUGCAAAAUAGAGGAUAUGAUUGAAAGUGAAAAUUUAAAAGGGUGUAAUCAAUGCAAUGAAACUAGGUUUAGUAAACCUACAUUGAACCUCGAACGAUGAAAUUCUAAUUAAGUUGUCUUCUCUCUUAUUUCAAAUAAUAAUUUGAAUUCUAAAUUUUGCUUAAGAGUCAAUAAUUUCAUGGCUGUGAUAUUAAUUUUUUUUUUUUUUUUUGAGAAAAAGAUAGCACGCUACCCGCUUAAAUCAUUGGAACAAUAAAUUAAGCUACAUGGUGACAUCAUUUGUUAGUUAUGUUAGUUAAGGUGCAUAUCUUUCCUAACAUAUCCUCAAAAAUAGCAACAUAUAUAUAUAUUUUAUGGUCCCAUAUCAUGCAACAGCUUCAAUCCCAAGGAGAAAUAUAAUCAAAUCCAAUGGGGCCCCACUCCAUCAUUAAUUACUCACAUUAAAACAGAUGCCACUUUUCAAUUAAAAGGUAGGUUUUUUGAAUUUUUCUUUUUAAGAAAGAGAAAUCCACAUGUCCAAUUUUGCUAGGAGCUGAUCGGAUAAUUCAAAAUCGUUUAAAUCCAGCUAGUGAACCAACUAUUUCUAACGCAAGUGAUAAAUAAUUUGGUGGUCGGUCCUCGAGAUUUCAAAUUCGAUCGAUAUCUAAUUAUUUUUUAUUUUCAUCUAAGUUUAUUUUUUAAAAAAAAUAAACAAAGCAGAUAGCAUUCUACUUUUCUCUUAAAAAAAAAAAAAAAAAAUCCAGCUAGUGGAUAGUGACUAAGCUUGGUAAACCUGUCAGUUAAUAACAAAUCAUCUUUACUAGUAUUACCGUCACUUAUUUUACCCUCAAGGUCUAUUUAUUUUAGUGUAUAUUCCAGCUAUCUCAUUAAUAUAUAUUAGUCUUUAUAAAUAGAGUAUAGCUACUAUACUUAUACUUUCAAAAGUAUAGAAAGGUGGUGCUUCCAAUUUUUUGAUUCUUGGAUUAGUUUUUUUGACUAUUUCUAAUAUUUAGAAUAAUAUUACUAUCCUAAGGGGAACCACUCAAUCCUAAAAGGGACCAAUAUCAUCCGGAUCUUAUAAUUCUUGAUCCAAGAGCCAAAAAGUUGGAAGCACCAACUUUUUUAUAAUUCUAAAAUCAUAAUAGCUCUAUACUUAUAACUAAAGGGAUUAUAGUAAAUUUAUGAUAUAUCUAAGUUAAUUUUUUUUUAAAAAAAAAUCAAACAUAUAUAAGAAUAAUAUAAUAUUUCGACGUAUUCUACGAGACGAAAGAACUAGAAAUAUACCUUUGCAUGCUGAGGAUAUAUAUUAAAUUUUGUGGACCAAACACACCUAAAAGGAAACAGUUAGAUGGCAGGGGGAGAGAAAUCACUUGGAGCCACAUUUGAGAGACCAAGAAGUAGAUGAAAUUAAUGCAUGGAUAUUGAACGCACACAUCAUGGAGAUAACAAAAGAUCACGAGAGUUGAGAGAGAGAGAGAGAGAGAGAGAGAGAGAGAGAGAGAGAGAGAGGUGUGGAGGCAAAAUGCAUGUGAAGGGAUCUUGGAUUCAUGUGGGGAGGCACACCCUACACUCCAUUCAUAUUGACCCUCCAGUUGCUGAGCAAACGCUAAAGCUAAGCGUAGCCUAAAUCCCAAUUGCCAUAUAAUGCCAAGUANAAAAAUCGCAAAAAUUAUUUUCUAGGAACUUUAAAUGUGCUAGAUCAAGUCUAACGGAGCCGAUCGUCGAUUCGAAAAUUCUAUCAUCGAAAACGACUCAGGAGCACGGAGAGGCCUCCGUGCUAUGAUUUAUUUUCUUGGGUUUUGAAAACAGAGAUGAAUUUUUAUUUUUUAUUUUUCCUUUUGUGUAAUUUGAUCACUAAGCUUCUGCUACAUUUAAAUUUUUAUUUCAAGUAGGCCAAUAGCUUUUUGUGGGUCAUUUUUUUCUUUGGAAAAUGAAUAUCGCAUCAUCCAUUUCAAAACCGAUGCGAUAGCGAUGUGGCAAUCGAAUUAGCUAUGUAUCAUGCCCUUGUAAUUAUUUUUCUGGAUUAAUUAUGACCAUGUCAUCAUUAUAUUGCCUCUUAAAAAUAACUUGGCUGUUGAAUUACUUAUCAAGCUCUUUUUUCAAUUAUAAAUAUUAUUGCAAAAUUAAGGGAUAUGAUUAAAGUAAAAAUUUAAAAGCGAGUGUAUCAAUUGCAAUAAACUAAGGUUUAGUAAACCUACAUUGAACUCGACGAUAAAUUUAAUUAAUUGAUCUUUCUCUUAUUUCAAAUAAUAAUUUAAUUUAAGUUUUGCUUAAGAUGUCAUAAUUUCAUGGUGAUAUUAUUUUUUUUUUUUUUUUUCCGCUGAAAAUAAAAUCUAUAAAAAGUGGUGAUAUAGCACUAAAAUUUCGAUCAGAAAUAUUGAUCUUGUUGUAAAUAGUGACAAAGAAUUCUAAAUAUGAAAAUUUUAUGCUGAUUAAUACUUCUACACCACGUUAAACUUGAAACGCAGAUAUCAACGCAUGAAAAUUAUGAUUUUGAAUCUUUCGAGAUCCACUGAUAAUGAUAUAAAAAAAUUGUAAAAAUUAUUGCUAGAAACUUAAGCGUCCGUGCUCCAAAGCCGUUUUCGAUGAUGGAGCUUCCGAAUCGACGAUCGGCUCCAUUAGACUUAAUCUAGCCUAUUUGGACUAUCUAGAAAAUAAAUUUUGUGAUUUUUCGAUAUCAUUUACCUAGCGAUCGAAAGAGUUCAAAAUCAAUAAUUUUUAAUAGUUAAUGUAUAUUGUUUGCAAGUUUAACAGUGUAGAACUAUUCAAAUUAGAAAAAAAUUUGAUAGAAAAUUCUUUAUACUAUUUGCAGCAAGAUUAAUAUCUCUGAUCGAAAAUUUUAAUGCUAUAUUAUAACUUUUUGUAAGAUUUUUAUUUUCAGCUGUUGAUUUUAAACCCUUUCGAUCGCUAGGUAAUUAAAUGAUAUCGAAAAAUCAUAAAAUUUAUUUUCUAAAUACUUUAAAUACACUAGAUCAAAUCUAACGGAGCUAAUUGGAAAGUUUUAUCAUCGAAACGGCUUAGGAGCACGAAGGCCUCCGUACGCUUAAUAGCACACAAGACCUUCUCUCUCUCUCUCUCUCUCUCUCUCUCUCUCUCUCUCUCUCUCUCUCUAUAUAUAUAUAUAUUAUAUAUAGAGAGAGAGAGAGAGAGAGAGCUAGUCUCCUAUACUAUCUAUAGUACCGGAGCUCCGGUACUAUAGUCCCCUUUUCGAUAUUAGGGUGUUCAAAUCAACGAUCCACACCGUUAAAACUGAUCUAGCGUAUUUAAAGUUUUUAGAAAUAUAAUUUUAUACUUUUUCGACAAAAUUUACUUUAUGAUUAAACCAUUUCAAAAUUGUCAAUUUUCAAAGGCUAUUAUGGCGAGUUUGGAGUUUAACGGUGUAGAAGAAUCUAAAUUUCUUCAAAUUUUGAUAGAAAAUACUUUAAACUAUCUAGAUUAAGGUUAACAUUCUUGAUCUUGGAUUUAAAAGUCCUAUACUUAAAUUUUAAAGAUUAUUCAAUUUCCACCGUCCAUUUUGACAUAAUUUAUUUACUAAGUAAACGAUGUCGAAAAAAACUAAAAUUUUAUUUCUAAAAACUUCAUAUACCCUAGAUCACAUUUAACAGUGUGGAUCGUUAAUUUGAACACCCUAAGAUCGAAAAUAAAACUAUAGUACCAAAGCUUCGGUAUUAUAGAUAGUACUAAUUAUAUAUAUAUAUAUAUGUGUGUGUGUGUAUGUAUGUAUGUAUGUAUAUGCACAUGCAUAUAUGAAUAUAUACAACAAUAACAACUCUCUCACUCUCUUAUCCCUACUUCCUUAUAUAUAUCCUAACUCAUCUAUUUCUACUUCUCUUGCAAGGGAGAUGGAAGAUAGCCUCUUUACUCCCCCACCUCCUUCAUUGAUGCACCAGUAUCAUGACAGCCACCACGACCGUGAGUACGCGAAUCGCGACACCUACCGAGGAUUGUUCGCCUCCAACUUGGUGCUUCUGAUCGUACUGCCAUUACUCGUGCUCGCCUCGCUCGCCGUCAUCGCCUUCGUAGUCCUGCGAGUUUGUCGCAGGGGGAGUAAGCCUGAGAAUAUCAGCAGUAACAACAUCAGCAGCUACAACAGCAGCUUCCGAAAGCCCAGUUUCGGCACGAACCCGCUGUCGAAGUGUGGCAGUGAUCUGGACGCCAAAGUAUUCAUCAACAGCCCUGGUAAAAUCCGGUAUUCUUUGUUCCGUUGAUUCAUAAUUUAAGCUUACUUGGCAAUCCAUGCACAUAAAUAUUGAUGAUCUUUCUUUCUUUUAUUUUUCCCCUUUUUCCUAAGAUGUUGGUAGCUGUAUAUAUGGUGGUAAGUUGGGGUUUACUGCGAUGCAAGUUCGGAAUAACAAGAGACUGGGGCAAGUGUUCACCUACAAGGAGCUUGAGGCGGCCACUGAUGGGUUCAGUGAGAGCAAUGUGAUUGGUAAUGGGGGGUUCGGCGUCGUGUUUCGAGGCCGGUUGAGCGACGGCACCGUCGCGGCCAUCAAGAAGCUGCACAAGGAAGGGAAGCAAGGGGAGAGAGAGUUCCGGACAGAGGUAGUGACAGUACUAGUGUUCCUGAUCACCAAUUUUAGUUUUUUUUUUGAGAGAUAGGUAGCACGCUACCCGCUUUGCUUAUUUUAUUUAGAAAUAAACUUAGCUGGAAAUAUGAAUCAACUAGGAUUCGAACUUGGGUCUCGUGUACCAACCACCAAGCCCUUUGCCACUUGCUCCAGGGACGAUUGGUUCACCAAUUUUAGUUUUAGUUGGCAAAAAUGUAUGGAGAUCCAUCCAUCAACUGCAGGCCAUUUUGAAAUUUUGAAAUAGACCCCCUGCCCCCCUCAAAUAAGUCUCUUUCAAUUCAGAUCUUCUAAACUUUUGAUUAUUAUGAUUUGAGUUAUGAUGCUAUCAGUUGUUUAAAUAUAAUAAACGAGAUUUGCCGUUCGAUCAGGCAAAAUAGUGUUCAGAAAAUAUUAAUUCUAAUUUUAACGGAAUCGUCAUUAAAUUUUAACAAAAAUUUCCAAUUUAAUCAAAAGAAAAAUAGUUGAUGGGUCUAUUUUCACAAUGUACCAUUGCUCCUAUUAGUUUAUAUAUUUCUUGGCUUUAGUGGGCACUUGUUUAGUCUCUCUGUUCUUGUGGAACAAAUAAUCACAAUCAAACAUGCGCACCAAUUUUUUUAAUUAUGCUUUAGCCAUAAAAAAAGUUGAGAGAAUCAAAAACUAGGAUAUCAAUUUUUUUCCCUUUUUUUUUUUUUUUUGUUUGUUUGUUUGUUUGUUUCACCUAUUGUGUGAAAAUUAAUGAACUGCUAUUUAUCAGUUUCACAUCCGACUAUUUUCAGAUGCUUACAAAACCAACCACCACUAAUUGCUGUCACAUGCACAUCAAUGUGUCACCAAUCUUUCCUAAAUUUUAGAAUGCAAACAAGGUAGCAUUUACUCUUUCCUCAUAAGUGUGAUAGCAUGUAAAUAUAUUAGAAAGUAAUGUGAGGAAAAGAAUCAUAUAUGUUGAUAUCAAAAAGAUUUAUAUAUAUUUUGUUCAUCCAUAAUGCUUCAGUCUAACAUUUUGUUUCUUUUGUUUUUGUUAUAAUGAAUUGCAAUCCAAAAAAUGGGAAUGAUUUCUCUCGUUCUCGUGUAAUUGUAGGUCGAUCUUUUAAGCCGAUUGAACUCUCAUCACUUGGUAGGAUUAGUAGGCUACUGCGCGGAUCAAAACCACCGUCUGCUCGUGUUUGAGUUCAUGAGCAACGGAAGCCUGCAACAACAUCUGCACACCAGCUCAAAGGAGCAAAACUACCGACCGCUCGACUGGCGAACCAGGCUGCGAAUAGCAUUAGAUUGCGCUCGAGGACUCGAAUUCCUACAUGAGCAAACGGCCCCCGCAGUUAUCCAUAGGGACUUCAAAUGCAGUAAUAUCUUGUUAGACCAUAACUACCGAGCCAAAAUCUCCGAUUUCGGUAUGGCCAAGAUUGGGUCAGAUAAACUCAAUGGCCAAGUCCUCACAAGGGUACUUGGGACUACCGGAUAUCUCGCGCCAGAGUAAGAUCUGCGUACCGAUCGAUUGCUUCAUCUUUUACACAAAUAUAUAUAUGUUACCUUUUGAUAAAGUAUGGGGGGUGUGCGCGCGCGCGUGUAUAUAGGUAUGCAUCGACGGGGAGAUUGACGACAAAGUCAGAUGUUUAUAGCUACGGAGUGGUGCUUCUCGAGCUGCUGACCGGUCGGUCACCGGUUGAGACAAGGCGGCCUCCAGGGGAACAUGUUCUAGUCUCAUGGGUUUGUAACUUUUACUUGCUCUAUUUUCACUUGUGAAUAAAAAAAACUAUCAAUAAUUAAGUAAAUCUCAAAACUAUGGUAAACUUAUAAAUAUCUUAGUUCAUGAAAAGAAUCUUACUUCUAUGCUGUAUCUGAGAAUAAUUUUAUCUCAGCCUUGUUGUUGGUAAAGCAAGGUUUAUUUUCUCGUCUAAUAACCUUCAUGUCGACUCACUAACCGCGAUAUAUUAGGCCCUUCCGCGACUUACUAACCGUGGGAAAGUUGUGGAAAUGGUGGAUCCUACACUGAAAGGCCAAUUCUCGACGAAAGAUCUAAUUCAGGUUUGUUAAAGGAUUAUUAGGUGCAUUUCGAUCCUACACUUUGUGAUUAAGUUAAAGGAUUAUCGCGAUAAGAUUCGAUGACAUUUUUCGUCAUUUGUUGCGAUAGGUUGCGGCAAUCGCUGCUGUGUGUGUGCAGUCAGAAGCUGACUACCGACCGCUUAUGACCGAUGUCGUCCAGUCUCUAAUCCCUUUGGUUAAGAACAAGGGCGCAUUUUCUUGCCCUACGACUCCUCCCAAGUUUCCGCAGAAUAUGUUAGAGCCAUGAGGUAUGCAAGAAUUGCGCGAAAGAGUGUUGGAAAAAGUUUCUCGCAGAUCGGAGUGCAGGAAACAGGAGUGGUUUUUAUUCAGAGGAACAAUCUAUCUACUUCAAUUUUUUUUUCUUUUUUCUUUUUUUCUUUUUUUCCCUGUGUAAAGCAACUUAUCUUUGUAAUAUGCUAUAUGGGAGGGUGUUGUACAUUGAAUUGAAUGGGCCCUAAUAUGAUGACACCACAUCAUUUGUAGGAACAAUAAAUGUCAAUUAUGUUUGCUACUGGUAAAGUAAAUGCCAUGUGGUCAAGAAAUGGGAUAAAUUUUCUUAUUAUCAUUGUACAUUUAAUCUUCUUUAACAUUAAACAGAAAUUGGAUCAGAACUCAGAAAGGUUCAGUCAGUGAAUGAAAUUCUCCAAUCUCAGUGCUUUCUUUGGGUUGUUUGGAACAUUUGAGUAACAUGAUUUUUCUUUCCCUUUCUUUGCCUUUCGGAACAUUAAUUAGUAUGAUUUCAUACUAUUUCAUACUAUUUUAACUGGUGGUAUAUUAAGAAAAUUAAACAUCUAUACACUCUUGUUAAUCCCUAUAAUUUUGUCCACAUGGCGGGAUUAUCUUAACUAUUGACUGUAGAGCACACCUCCUCUAUUACUCAUAUCUUUUCCUUUAAUCUGCCCUCUUUUAAAGAUCAUAUCAUUUUUCCUUCUGUUCUUUCAGUAGAAAAGAAUUAUCAGAGACUUUGUCGUUUGCAAUUUCGUUUCUUCGGUUUCCUUGCUCCUCUUUUAAAUUCCUCAUAAAAUGAAACUUGAAAUCCCACUUCUUUUUUAUAUUGCAACGAUUUCUCAUCUCUUUUGAAAUAAUAAAUUAGACUGAAAUUCAAUUCUGCUCAACAUAUAUUCCAGAUAGAAAUGUUCAAUUCUGAUUGAAUAGAAUUAAAUUCUUCUGAAGUGAAAUCAAUUAUAUUCCAUGUAUAUUUUAACUCCAAGCAAGAGUACAAAGGGAUCAAAAAGAUUGUGACUUAACUUUUAUAUAUAUAUAUAUAUAUAUAUAGAGAGAGAGAGAGAGAGAGAGAGAGAGAGUAUGCGAGGCUACUAUGCUUUUGGAAGUACGGAGCCUUUCAGGUCGUUUUCGAUGUUGCGACUUUUGAAUCGUCGAUCGGCUCCGUUAAACUUGAUCUAAAGUAUUUGAAAUACUUAGAAAAUAAAUUAUGCGAUUUUUCGAUAUUAUUUGCCUAGUGAACAGGGACUCAAAAUCAACGACUGAAAAUAAAAAUCUUACAAAACAUAAUAAUAUGACAUUAAAAUGUUAGAUCAAAGANUGAUGUCAAAAAAUUAUAAAAUUUGGUUUCUAGAUAGUUCCAAUAGGGUAGAUUAUACCUAACGGAGCCGAUCGUCAAAUCGAAUGUCCUAUCAUCGAAAACAACUUACAAACACGGAGGUCCUGGUACUUUCGAAAGUAUAGUAGAGGCACUCUAUAUAUAUAUAUAUAUAUAUAUAUAUAUAUAUAUAGAGUUGAGCUAGAAUACUCUCAAAAGCACCAAGAGGUUGGUGCUUUUGAAUUUUUAACCCUUGGAUGGAGAGAUGUGAGAUUGAGAUGAUGGUGGUAGGUAGUGGUAGGUAGAAUAGCAUUUGAUCCAAGGGUUAUUAGUAAUCUAGGAGUAGAUCUAAUGGCUAAAAACUUAAUAGCACCAAGGGGAUGAUACUUCUAAAAAUAUUCUAGCUAUAUGUAUAUAUACUUUGAUCUUCUUAGUGCAUACGAAAGGGGUUAUAAAAAAAAAUUUUAAAAAAAAAAAAGUACUUUUUAACUCAGCUAAAGAUCCUUAAUAAUAAAGUGAAUAUUGUAGAAGAAUUGUAACUUUGGAUUUUUUGGGUGGAAGAAGCUCCAAGAACAGAAUUAUUACUAUUCACAAUAUAAUACAGCCUCGGUUAGUCUACAAAGGAAAUAAUCAAGAGACACAAUGGUAAUUUAGUUUCCUAUUCUAUAGCAGAGUUAUAAGAAAAUAUGCUAAUAGCUUCCUUUAUGUUAUAGCUCUAAUUAUAGACAUCUAUGCUGGUCUAAUGAAGGAGAGCAAGUCUUGGAGUUAAUUGAUCCUGGAGAGUGAUUGUCGCCUAUACGCCCCCGCAAGAUAGGUGUACCGUUGUGAACACCUAUCUUGGAAUGAAGAAGAGAAAAUUGCUGUCGUGCGAGAGGUUUUGUUAGCACGUAAGCAAGUUGCUCAUGAGUCGAUACAUGAGAUACAUUUAACGGUCCUAUGCUUACUUUAUCGCAAACGAAGUGGUAGCUAAUAGCUAUAUAUUUCAUCUUGCAGUGAAAGACCGGAUUAGCACAUACAUAUGUUGCACCAAUAUUGUCACAGUAAAUGGUCGGACUUUGGGAUAGUGAUACACCUAGCUCAUGCAGAAGCGACUGAAUCCAAGCCAACUCAAAUGCCGUAUCCGCAAUGGCACGAUAUUCAGCCUUAGUAGAAGAGCGGGCGACAAAUCAUUGCUUUCAUGAGCUCCAUGAAAUACGAUUAGUGCCAAGGAAUACAAUGUACGCAGAGGUGGAUGUACGAUCAUCUUUAUCAUCAGCCCAGUCAGCAUUAGAGAAAGCGUGUAGUAGUAAAUUAGAGUAGCACUUCAAGUGCAGUCCAUAAUUGAUAGUGCCGUUGAGAUAUCGAAGAAUUCGUUUGACUGCAAUCCACUGAAGCGCCGACAGUUGAUGCAUGAAUUGAGAUAAUUUGUUUACGGUAAAAGCUAUGUCCGGCCUUGUGAUAGAGAGAUAUUGAAGAGCACCAACAACUUUCCGAUACUGAGUAGCAUUUGUUGGAGGAAAGCCAUCAUGACGAGAUAGCGAGCAACUAGUCAGCAAUGGAUUAACAACAUCUUUCGCACCAAGCAUUUUAGUUCCAUCAAGGAUAUCACUUAUGUAUUUAUGUUGCGUGAGAAAUAAGUCCUGCAUUGUUGGUAUAACUUCAACCCCUAGGAAGUAAUGAAGAUCACCAAGAUCAUUAAGAGAAAACCUGCCAGAAAGAGCUUGGACAAAACUAUGUAGAAAUGAUUUAUCAUUUUCUAUAAGUAUUAGGUCAUCAACAUUAAACUCUAUACUAAAGUUGAAACCAAAUGCCGUUUCUCCAUCAAGCCACGUGGCCUUUUUUUUAUAUGGAUUUUCUCUCUCUCCCUCAUAUGCUCUCCCUCCCUCACAUGGACUCACAUGGGUUAUGUUAAAUGGGCACGUACUAUGCAAAAUUUUGUUUCAUGCACCUUCUGUAUCAUGUUAAACAAUAAUGAUUUUAAAGGCAAGCGGCUAUGUUAAAGGGGCAUAUACUAUGGAACAUUUUGUUCCAUGCACUCUAUAUCAUGUUAAACAAUAAUGAUUUUAAAGACAAGCUCAAUUAAAAUUAACCAGAAAAACGUCAUCUUAAUUUUACAGUUCUAAACCUUUUCUUUGUCGCCGAAAGGUCUACCAACUAAAAUCUUUAUCAGAUUGCUACUAUUUUUCGCCCUCACUUUUGGAGUGUCAAAAUGACACGAAGCGCUCGCCCCCGCCUGCGCCUCCGCGCUCGCAGCGUGGCGCGGGCAGGUGGGCGCGCGGGGCGGGGCGCCGCGUGGCAUCGUAUUUGAUAAUAUAUAUUAUAUAUUUAGUUAUCUUACAUAAUAUGAAUAUUAUAUAUAUCUGUAUGUUUCGUGAUAAAUAAAUAUAAUAAAAGUCAUAUUAUUAGCUCUCAAUGUUACGACCUCCCGCCGCAAAGCGCGGGUCAUUACACUAGUAUACAAGAAAGUAGGCCACUAGUAUUCCAUCAUGUCGAUAGAUGAAAAGAGAACAAUCAGAUUUUGAUUAAGUGAACCCAUAUUCAGUGAGAAAACUACUAAGUGCGUGAUACCAAGCCUGAGGGGCAUGUUUGAGACCAUAAAUUGCUUUCUUAAGUCGAUAGACAUGAGUAGGUGAGGAGCGAUCAACAAAUCCUGGCGAUUGUUGCAUAUAAACAACUUCAGUGAGAGAUCCAUGUAAGAAGCCAUUGUUCACAUCCAGCUGAUGAAGAGAUCAUCUUUGAGUUAAAGCAAGGCAAAGAAUAGUUCGUAUGAUGGUAGUAUGUUUAACGACCGGGCUAAACGUCUCAUGAUAGUCUGGUCCAGGUCUCUGAUGGAAGCCUUUGGCGAUGAGUCAUGCUUUAUAGCGUGCAACACUACAAUUGGGAUGCCUUUUGAUACGAAAUACCCAUUUGCAACCAACAACAUUGUAAUGAGGUUGAGGAGCAACCAACUCCUAAGUGCCAUUACGAAGAAAGGCAGUAAAUUCUUCAGGCAUAGCAGUUCGCAAGUUUGGAUCUUGGAUAGCUUGAGAUACACAGUGUAACGACUUAGCCCACUAGCAAUAAUAACUCGUUGGGCCGGUUGGGCCCAAAAUGUUUAAGCUCAGUUAUUAUUACUAGUAUGGGAUUAUUGGAGUGUGACAAACUCUCCCCGUUAAGACCCUGACGUCCUCGUCAGUCCAAUCACACACACAGCCCAAGAUUACCAGGCAAUGUGAGACUCGUCUCGCUAGUCUUGUCAUCCAGACCCUGGCAUAGUCGGUCGUCUUGUCAUUCAGACUCCGACAUAGCCUAUCACCUUGUCUUUCAGACUCUGGCUCAGCCGAAACUUGUCAUACAUUUCCGAUUGAUGAACUAGCUCUGAUACCAAAUGUAACGACCCAGCCUACUAGCAAUAAUAAUUCGUUGGGCCCAACCAUUGGCCCAAAAUACUUAAGCCUAGUUAUUAUUACUAGUGUCUAAGUCUCUUAUAUACCCAAUCACAACCCCAUUCAUAUCCGAUGUAGAAUUAUUGGGGUGUGACACACAGGUUGGUUCCAUAAUAGUGGGAAUAGGAUGCUUCUAUGUAGUAUGGAGCUGUUUAGGCUUAAAAAUAUUAUUUUGGGAUCUAGUGGUCAUAGGAUGUGUGCGUUGGAAGGGGAAGUGACAACAAUAGGUGCCGCAGUUUCAAUCAAUCAACAGCUUUGUGAGGUACAUCCAAAAUUGCAGGCAAGCUACUGUUACUUCCAAGUAAUUAACUAGCGCCUCACUUUGGUACUGCUCCCUUUUUCUUGUUUCUUAAACUCAAAUUCUAUGUGAUUAAAUGAAACACCAGAUGAGAACAUACACACCUGGGAUUGUGUUUGGAAAUAAAGGAACAAGAUACUACUAUAUAGCAACUUUUUAUUUUCUCCUUUGCGUUAUGUAGGAAAAAAACAAAACAAAACAAAACAAAACAAAACAAACAAACAAACACCACUCUGCAUAUUGCCGGGGCAAGUUGAAAUCUAACUGAUAAUAGCAAGGAUGGAGAAAUCUGUCCACUGGUGCAUUCAAUCACUAUAGAAUUUUGAGUUUGGAAAAAGAAUAAAAUAAAGGAACGAAGGGGUACCAACCGUAUUUUGAGCACUACAACUGCAUUGAUACAUGAGCACUGCAACUACACUGAAACAGCAAGAGAGCACCAUUGUGUUCUACUCUUCAAUAGAGCGGAGGAAAAACAAAACAUUAACUUUCUGGCCAGAUUUCGUUGCACAGCUAACAAAUGAAGCACGUCAUUAGAAAGUGUUUUUCCAAGAUAUUUACUGUAACAAGUUUUCCUUAGAGAAGAAGCUAGCUUCGACUAUCAUAAAUGCUAAAUCUUUUGCAAACAACUUCACAAUUGAACAAUCCAAAUUGAUCUACAAUACUAAGACAAUAUAAUAAAUUAAGAGUCAAAUACUUGGGUGCCUCUAAUCCAAACAUCAAACCAUCACAAAUAUGCAGAGUAGCACCGAUAAAUAAAUAAAUAAACAAAUAACAUAUAUAUAUAGAUAUAUAUAUAUAUAUAUAUAUAGAGAGAGAGAGAGAGAGAGAGAGAGAGACUAAUAACAUCACACACUUGGUGCUACCAACUUUUCCACCAUUAAAUCUAAUAUCUUUCAUCAUUCCUACCCAGUAGAUCAAUAUUGUUCCACCAACUACCAUUAAACCCUAAGAGGAUCACUAUUAUCCCAACCCCACAAUCCUUCAUCCAAGGACUACUAAUUUAAAAGUUAAAAAGCCCAAAUAUUUCUAAAAGAAUUUUAGCUCAAUUCAUAUAGAACUAGUGUAGUAAUCCGUGCGAUGCGACGGACAAAAAAUUAGAAAAAAAUUAAAAAUAUUAAUGAUAUAUCUUUUCAUAAAUUUUUAAAUAAUUUAUAUUUGAUUGAUUAUAAAUUAUUCAAACGUGUAGGGAAUCUGUAUGUAUGAGUCAACCGUUUAAAAAUAAAUGAAGACAUUACAUGUUUGCUAUAUAUACUUUAUCAUCGUAUUUUAUAUCAAUAUUAAUAAUAAAUUAAUACAAAUAUCAGUUAAUUUUUUUUCUAAAAAAAGUCCAGUCCUUAAUGAGAAUUUCUAUAAAAACAAGAGAAAACUUCAAAAAACCCCCUAUGGUUUCGCACGUUUUCAUUUUAGUACCCUGUGGUUAAAAGUGUAUAAAGUUAGUACCCCGUGGUUUUGCACUUUCUCACUUUAGUACCAUGUGGUUUAAAGUGUAUCAAGUUAGUACUCUGUGAUUUUAUUUUUGUAUCAAGUUAGUACCCUAUGGUUUUAUUUUUGUAUCAAGUUAGUAUCGUGGUUUUAUUUUUGUAUCAAGUUAGUAUUCUGUGAUUUUUAAACCACAGGGGUACUAAAGUGAGAAAGUGCGAAACCACAGGGUACUAACUUCAUACACUUUAAACCACAGGGUACUAAAGUGAGAAAGUGCAAAACCACAGGGUACUAAUUUAAUAUACUUUAAACCACAGGGUACUAAAGUGAGAAAGAGUGAAACCACAAGGGGAAUAUUUGAAGUUUUCCCAGAAAACAAAGAGAAGAGAAAAAGAGCAUAGAUUUGACCGAGCUCGGCUCAAGCAAGAAAGAGGACACCGGUUCGGUUCAAGCAAGAAAGAGGACACCGGUUCAGUUCAAGCAAAGAAAAAAAAAAUCUGGUUUGGUUCAAGCAACAAAAGAAGAGAACCUGAGCUAGUUCAAGGUGGAGCUCUUAUUCAACAAUUAUUGGUUCAGUUCAGAUAAAUUAAAAGAGAAAUCCGGUUCAAAGAUAGAAAUAUAUAGAGCAAUUGGUUUGGCUCGACCCGGUUCAACAUGACCCGGUUCAACAUUAUUGGUUCGGUUCAGAUAAUUAAAAAAGAAAUCUAGUUCAAAGAUGGAAAUAUAUAGAAUUAUUGAUUCGGUCUAAUGAAGCAAGUUGAUGCGGUUUGGUUCAAGCACAAAUAGAGAAAAAUUAUAUAAUUAUUUGGAGAACUUGAGCCGGUUCAAGGUCGCACCCAACAACCUAGUUUGGUUCAAACAAAGAAAGAGAAAUUGGUAGAGCCCAUAUUUAAUUUAAUAAAGAAAGAGAAUGAUGCCAUGUGGCAAAGUUUAAGAGAAAUAAUGUAUAGGUAAUUAGGCAUAGAUUAGGAUAUAAUACUAUCAGCUUUUGUGCUACCAAAUAGUUUUCAAUGUUGCAACUUCUAAAUCAACGAUCGACUCCGUUCACUUGAUCUACACUAUUGGAAGUAUCUAAAAACAAAAUUUCAUGAUUUUUCCAACAUCAUUUACCCUAUUGAACAAGUACUCUAAAAAUAAUCGGCUGAAAAUAAAAAUUUCAUAAAAAUAAUGAUAAAAGACUUGAAUUUCAGAUAAGAGGUACUGAUCUUAAUCUAGAUAGUGAAAAGAAUUUUCUAUCAAAAUUUCAUUGAAUUUGCAUUGUCCUAUAGCAUGAAACUAAACGCAUAACAUCUGCUGCUAAAAUUGUCAAUGUUGAGACUUCUGAUCAGUAGUCAAAUGAUACCAAAAAAUAUAAAAUUUGGUUUCUAAAUACUUCUAAUAGCAUAAAUCAAAUCUAUUGGACGCGAUCAUCGAUUCAAAAACCGCACCACUAAAAACAACUCAGUGGCAUGGAGGCCGCCGUGCUACCUAUAGUAUUCAACCCUCAUUUUAUAUAUAUACAUAUAUACAUAUACAUAUACAUACACAUACCCGCACCCGCACACGCGCGUGCGCGCGCGCACACACGAGCACGAUCGUCUUCAUACUAAUAAGCCGUUUUCGAGGAUAAAACUUCCGAAUCGACGAUCUAUUCUGGUAAACAUAAUUUAAAGCAUUUAAAUAUUUUAGAGACCGAAUUUUUUAAUAUUUUUAUAUCAUAUACCUUGCAACCAAAAGGCCUCAAAUUGACAUUUUUAAUGGCUAUUAAGGGGCGUUUCCUAGUUAAUGGUGUAAGAAUUGGCAUCGGCUGAAGUUUUUAAAUAAAAUUCUAUUUACUCUAUAUAUCAAGAUCAAUAACUCUGAUCUCGAAUUUACCCACUUGAUGCACAAGCAAAAAGUUUUCUGAAUUAAAUGAUAUCAUCUACAUAAACAGUCCAAGAUCGUAUUCAUACUCAUAAGCCGUUUUCAAGGAUAAAGCUUCCAAAUCAACGAUCUAUGCUGGUAAACAUAAUUUAGAACAUUCAAACAUUUUAGAGACCGAAUUUUAUAAUUUUUUUAUAUCAUAUACCUUGCGAUCAAAAGGCAUCAAAAUUGACAUUUUUAACGGCUGUUAAGGGGCUUUUCCUAGUUAACAGUGAAAGAAUUGGAAUUGGCUGUUAAGGGGCGAUUUAAAUUUAGAUAACAUAACAUAACUUCUGCUAGUCAUGAAGUGUUGAAUCUCAUAUAGAAGAUUUGUUGAUAUAGUGUAUUCAUCCAACAAUCUCUCCCUUUUUAACUGGUUCAUUGCAAUUAAACAAACCUACUGACCAACAACACUAGCGAUCACAAGCUAAAUGAACACAAUCUUCUAAAAAGGCAAAAAAGGAAACAAAAAGAAAAUGGUAUGAAAGUUCAAGCAAACCAACCCAACCCUGGAAGUAUGCUUUCACAAUCAAACUAAUCACUGUCUACAAUAUAGGGCAAUUUGAUGGAACAAAGCAUCGGAGAGUGCGUCGAAAAAUGAGAAAGGUAGUGACACACAAUAACUUAACCUCCACGAGCUUCUCUCCGGGUGGCAUCAUGGAGGAUAUCUAUAUCUACUCCAUCAGGAGGAAGCUGAACAUACCUCACCACAGAUCCCCGAAUAAAGCAGUUCCUCACUGAUAACUGCAACAAAAUUUAUCCAAGGAAAACAAAUGUCAUGUUUUCGGACCUGAUCUUUCAAGCUGACUUUUAAAACACUAAACGGAUGAUCAGUAAAUGAAUGUCCUAAUGUUAGAAUAACACUGUGUGAACUCUAAAGCAAUACGACCAAACUUGAGUUACGUCACACCAAAAUGCAAUGAAAUAAUAACGCGGCAGGUAAAAAGUGUGGUGCAGAGAACAUGAUUGCAAUAAAAGCCAGAAAUAGCAAAUGUUGUCUAAGUAGUUCGAUAUCUUCGGCACAGAACCAUAUGCAUAAGGAUGUUGUAACUAAAUGCAUAUAUGCGCUUACAUUCACAGAUGAUGUGAAGAAUCAACUCAAAACAUUUUAUCAGCGGAUGUAGCCAGAGGAAGGACCUCGUAAUUAAAUGCAUAUAUAAACUUACAUUCACAGAUGAUGUGAAGAACUAACUCAAAAAAUUUUAUCAGCGGAUGCAGCCAGAGGAACCAAGCAAAUAUUCAGCAACGAAUAUCAUGGUGAUUCUAGUAACUAAAAGCAACUCUACAUUAGAUGAUCUGAGAUUCCAACUUUAUUGCAAGAUAGUAGCUUAAACAGAUUCCUUUCAGGCUCUUUUAGAAUAAUUACAAUAAAUCCACAAAAUUAGUUCAAGUGGAAAUUCUGGUUCCUAUGAAACUUGAAAAAUCUGAUCUAAGAGUUCAAUGAAACAAAGAAAAGAAACCCUAAGGACUCAAAAGAGAGAACUCUUAGACAUUUUUGUACGACCGUAAACCCAGUACAAUUAUCACUAGGAGACAUCCUAAUUAACCUUUCAGCUGGGAAGAAAUUUUCUGUAAACCUAGGUGCAGGAAGUUCCCGCUCCCUACUUACAGGGCUUGUUCUGGCUGUUCACAGGAUCUUCAUAAAAACAAUUAGAGUUCACAUAAAUUACACCUUCUGAAAUAGAUUUCUUCCCAACUUUUUAUAUUCUUUUCUAUGAUAUUACUCAAAAUUUUCUGAAGGCUUUCCAAUCAAUGGAACUUAUAUGCUUCGUAUAAGACCUAGAAAAUAAGCAACAAAGAACUAAAGAAGUAAGACAAAGUUAAAUACAGAGAAAGAGUUGAGAGAGAGAGAGAGAGAGAGAGAUGCCUGCAUCCUGAUGAGCCAAGAGAACCUCCAUGAUGGAAGACCAUAGCUUACUUAGAAACCAUUUAGAUCUCCCUCUCUUCUAACCACUUUCUUAUCAUUUUGAAUCAAAACUGAUCAAAGAAAACAAAUGGGAAGAAGAUGUGAUUGUGCCCCCCACAGCCCUUCCUUUUUCCCCCCUCUCCUUGUUUUCCUUAUCCAACAACUGCUGUGUAUAUAGAGUGUCCCCCGCCCCGUUCCUUUCUCCCCCCUCAGCUCUCCUUUCUAGUUUUCCUUGUCCAACAAGUUUCUUAUAUAAAGAGUGGUUGAACUGACUAGAUGAUUAUAGCCACCCGGCAAGACACAUCAGAUAAAUCAACUAGGCUACACAUUAUUUUAACAUGGAUAUGUUAAAUUUCUUUUUAAAAAACUUACUGAUUUGAGCUUAAGAACAGAGAGAGCUAGCAAUCAAAAAAAAACUCUAACACCUAAAUGCGGCGGAGGGAACUUUUCCCAAUGACUCAUGUCAUAGCACAAAAUUGCACGCGCUUGGUUCACUGCCGAUCGGUUAGCAAAUCAUAAAUUUAAAUUCAAUAGGUAUGACCAAAACUUAUAAUUUUAAAAAUGCAGAUCUUUUGAAUGCCAUAAAGCACGGUUAAUGAAUUACGUUCUAAUUUUUGAGUUCUCUAUGGUUAAGUUUCAGGAGUGCAAUGCAAGGUGCGCUGGGGGCAUGCAGUAACUUCUAUAUUGUAUAAGGUAUAGACUAAAUUGACCAAAGUAGCUCUCUCCUUUGAAUCUCAUGCUGUCUAUACUGAAAACAUCUAUGGACUUUAGGUGCAGACAUGUACCCCAGCCAAAUAUUGCGUGCAUCUGGUGUAGUAUGGACCAGAUUAGAAUAUGGACCAGAUUAGAAAACCACAAGUUCUCAUCCAAUAUAAGCACCUGAUAUGACCGUUAAAAUUUAAGACUUCUGAAUAUCAUCGAACACGUUCGACAAAUUAUAUUCUUCAUUUCAGUCCUCUCGUAAUGUUCAGGAGUUUGAUGCAUGUGCACCUGCAACCUGGUGGUUUUUUUCAAUGUUUUGAAAGGUAAUAUGUGAUAUCCACGCGGUUACAAACCACAUACCGCAUAUGCGAUAUGUAGGUGCAUAUCGCAUAUCUAUAUGCGAUACAACUAUUAAAAUAUUAAAAAAUAUUUAUAGGUCCUAUAUAUAUAUAUAUAUAUAUACAUAUUACAUAAUGUAUAAUAUAUAUUAUAUUAACAUAUGUAUAUAUAUAUGAUAUAUAAUGAUAUACAUCUGUAUAUAUACAUAUAAUAUCAUAUGUAUAUACUAUAUAUAUAAUAUAUACAACUAAUUAUAUAUGUAUAAUAUAUUAUAUAUAUUAUAGAAUUAGGCUGUAAUACUAUUAAUAGUAUUUGGACUUUUUGCUAUUGAUUUUUAACCCUUGAAUGAAAAAUUGCAGAGUUAGGAUGAUAGUGGUCCCCAUAAGGUCUAAAUGAGUCCUCUAGGGUUGAGUGGGUAGUUGUUGAAUAGUAUAAAUCUAAAAGGUGGAAUUGAUUAAAGUAUGAUCUAACAGCUAUAAAAAUCGAUAGCAAAAGAGCCAAACACUAUUAAUAGUAUUCCAGCUCAACUAUAUAUAUAUAUAUAUAUAUAUAUAUAUAUAUAAUUAAGAGAGAAGAGAGAGAGAGAGAGAGAGAAAGAGAGAAGAGAGAGAGUUGAGGCUAGACAUAGACGUAGAACACAACCCCUUGGUGGGGGUUGGUGCUUCUAGGUAGUGUUCUAAACCCUUAGAUCAAACCCUUUGACUAUUAAUAGCCUUUGGAUCAAACACUAUUCCACCUACCACCACCUACCACCAUCAUCCUACCCCUAACAUCACUCAUCCAAGGAAUACAAACCCAAAGCACCAACCCGUUGUGCUUUUCGGAGUAUCUAGCUCAAUAAUAUAUAUAUAUAUAUAUUAUAUAAUAUAUAUAUAUAUAUAUAUAGAGAGAGAAGAGAGAGAGAGAGAGAGAGAGUUGAGCUAGAAUGCUAUCGAUAGCAAAACGACUCCGGUUGCACCCAUAUUGUUUUCGAUGAUGGAGCCUUAAAUCGACGAUGCAGCACUGUUGAAUAUGAUCAUCCAAACUUGAAACUAUCUAGAACCAAAUUUAAAUCUUUCGACAUCAUUGACCUAAUGAUUAAAGGGUUUCAAAAUUUAAAAUUUCAAUGGUAAAUAUAAGCGUUUUCUCAUUAACGGUGUAAAGGCUAUUCAAUCAAUUGAAUUUUGGUCAGAAAAUUCUUUAACGACUAUUUAGAACAAGAUCUAUACUCUCGAAUCUUGAUUACAAAUUCCUAUCAUCACUUUUAUAGAGAUAUUCAUUUUCAGCCGUCCUCAAUUUACGUCCACUUGAGAGACGAAAGAGAACAAUAUGGAAAAAGCAUGAAAUUUGAUUUCUAGAUACUUCAAGUGUAUAGAUCAUGUUCAAUGGCGCCGAUCACCGAUUUGAAGACUUCAUCAUCAAAAACAAUGAGUGGCAACGGAGCCCGUUUGCUACAGAUAGUAUUCCAGCUCACUACUAUAUAUAUAUAUAAAGCAAGCUACUGUGGCGCUAUUAGGAGCACAGGCAGCCCUUGUGCUUUUAAACUCUAAUUGGAUGAGAGAGAGAAGUGAAAUUGAGAAAUUGGGUGUCUCAAUUUCUAUUUUUUUUUGAAUUUCUCUCAAUUUUUCCUCUCUCUCAUCCGAACACCGAUCUAAAAUUGAUAAUGGUUAGAAGUAAGGAACACAAGGUUGUUGUGCUCCUAAUAGCACAGUAGCUACCUAUAUAUAUAUAUAUAUAUAUAUAUAUAUAUAUAUAAUAUAUAUAUAUAUAUUAAUAAUUAUAAUAUAUAUAUAUACACUUCCUAACAAAGCAAACUAACUAAAGUAACAAUUCAAAAUUCACAACUUGAAAUAAUUAACAUCAAGUAACGGACUUUGUAUGAAUACAUGUACAACUAAACUAAUAAUUAGCAAUUCUCUUAAUUAUUUAAUAUAGAAGUAAAUAGAAUUUUGAUGCAAAAUUAUAAAAACUGUCAAACAAAAAUCAAUGUUCUAAAAUGUAGUAUAAUAAAUUUUACAAAAAAAUAAUAAUUUUUUCAAUAGACUGUUAUUCACAUCAAUCGACAGGCCAACACUUAAGAAAACAAAUAUAGUAUAGGGGCAAUUGCUUAUAUACCCCUAAAAAAUUUCCGACUUUCCGAUUUACCUCUCUUAGAAGGCUAAUAUUGAAAAUACCCUUUCUACGUUCCAACCUAUUUCUAAUAUACCCCUAGAGUUAAAAUCUGUUAAUUAACUCUGUUAUCUCUGUAAAAUUACUAUUUUGCUCUUUCAAAUAUACUCUUCCACCAUCAUUGACUUUCUUAUUUGCCCUUAAAGUCGGGGGCACAAAAAGUAUUUUGACUUUUGGCCUUUUCCAAUAUACUCCUCUACCGUCACCAACAUUUCUUAUUUGCCCUUAAGUUAAGGGCAAAAUUGGCAUUUUAAUUUUUUUUAACUGUGGUAAAUAUUUAACUCACGUUUAACCCAAGUCAACUUAGCAGGAGAUAACUUGUAAGGAAGUGAAUUCUCGAAAUCUGAGAGUUAGACUUCGAUUAAAAAAUCGACUUCUUGUCGCGUUGGUAUGUCUCGGAAAGUCCGAAAACAUCAUAAAUGCAAAAGGUGCAUUGUUGGAGGUUUUCGAGAGCUAUGGAAUCAAAAAUCUGCAUACUGCAGCUUUUGAGCUCUCGGGAACCGGUCCCUAGUGGGAGAGACCCUAGUGGGAGAGACCAGUCCCCGAACGUGAAGAAUCUCAGAGAUGGGAAAAAUCGGCUAAGUCCCAGAAAACCAGCUCUCGAGAACCGGUCCCUGCGGGGAGAGACCGGUCCCAUCAGGAGGGACCGGUUGCACCGUGCGAGGGCUCCGCUGAGUUGCGGGAGAGCUCUCUGGGACCGGUCCCAUGCUCGAGAGACCGGUCCCCGAAGCCCGAAAUUGCCCAGGUUGGGCUGUGUCAUGAAGACAAAGUUGAGGAAUUUUUAUGCAAUUGUAGCAUGAGUUAGGGGUAUAUGAGAGGGUGAGCUCUCUCUCUUUCUCAUUUCUCUCCCAAACACAAACCUAAGCCUCUCUCUCUCUAAUCUCUCUUCAUCUCUCUCUAGAAGGUGAAGAAGAGAAGGGAUUUGGUGGAGAAACAAGCAAGGAGAGGGAUCUUCAUCUUCUUCUCCUUCCUCUACACCUGGGAGCUAGCUUUUAGAGGUAAGCUUCUAGGCUCAACCAUGGUAAAUUUCUAGGGUUUGGAUUUUAUACUCUAGAAUCGGUUUAGUUGGAACUCUAGCAUGCUUAAUAAGUGUUUAAUGCAUGAGUUUGAGGAUUUAGAGUUUGAUUCUUGCAUGAUUGCAAGUAGAGCUCCAAAAAUGGGAUUUCGUGAUUUGUUAGGUAUUGAUCUAAAUUGAUCGAGUGUAAAUCUAAUUGCUAGGUGUUUAAACGCGUAGGCAAAGACGGUUCGACGAUUCGUCGAGCGGGUGCAAAGUUACGAGCAAAAAGUACCUUCCAAGCUUCGUUUCCGCCUGGGAGGCCGAGACGACGUCAUAAAGUCGCCGAACUUCAUUCCUAGAGUCGUGACAACGCCAGAAGGUGGGUGGUGUCAUCCCGAAGCAACCGGGCUCCUCUUUAUGUCUUAAUACAUUUUAAAUCUUGCAUCUCUUACAUAUAAGCAUUGUAAGAUAAAUGUGCAUUUCCAUUCCUUAUGCUUUCCUAGAUGAUAUCGUAGUGUGAGUUGAAUGCUUGAUAUAGUGGAUAAAUAAGAAUUGGGUCGAGACAUUGAAUCCUAUAGUGCUGAGAUAAGAGAUGGACUCAAUAGUUGAUAGAGACAUAACGAGUGGCAUGUAGACAACAAUGACAACAGAACGAGUGGCAUUAAACUUAGUGUAAAGUAGCACUCGACAUGUGAACUUAGGGAUAGGCGGAUUCCCUAUUGAUGAGUCAUUGAACAAGAACUUUGUGUAGUUAAACACUUGCAUAUGGACUUUGGGAUAGGUGGAUUCCCGAGUGAUAGUUAGCCCUAGUGGAUAGGGUAUCCUCGAGUUGAGAGGGUUGGAUCAUAUUCGCUGUUUGUUUAGAACUUGUGUUGGUCGCUCCUCACAAGUGUGCGCUCCGGAGUUUAGUCACUUGAGGGAUAGCCUUAUGGGGUCCCUGGGAAAGCCUUAUGGGGUCCCGCAAACGGUCUCAGGUUUGUGAACGAGUUGAGUUUCCUUACCAUGAGAUGCAUGUGAGUCGCAGGCGAACCUCAGGGUUGGCCAAGGAUUGGGUAAGUUAAGAAUUGAUGAACAAUAAGGAACAUUAUUUCUUGGACAUAGUGGCAUGUUAGUAAACCACUUACUAUAUGAUGCAUGCAUACAUUAUUGAUGAUUGGGCAUAGUAGCAUAGUUUUCCUACUAUUGCAUUUACAGCUUUGAUAUCUAUCAACCUAUCUAUCUGCUUGUGCCCAUUUGGACCUAAUGGGGAGAUCGGCGGAGUCGGCGGCCGAACCCGCUGGGAACUAUGGACAAUAGUUCUCACCCCACUUUGUUGCAGGACCGAGUACGAGCGCUCCGGGCGAGGAUCGCGGUAAGGGCUUAGCGCCCUUGCAUAGUGGCUCUCCUACUGCAUUAGAGAUACCUACCUAUAUGAGAGUAGAUGAUGUAUGGGUUGCGAGGUGCAUUUUGGAGAGAUGUGAAUAAACUGUACCUAUUUCUGAAUGAAACGAAAAUGUAAAUUGUAUAAAUGGACAAAUCAUGAUGUAAUAGAUAGAACACUCUUUUCGCACUUGUAUAGAUACUUGUGUUACUUGCUCUUGUUGUUGUGCACUUAUGGUGCUUCUAUGGUCGUUGUUUGGAUCAUGUAUGUAUUGAAUUGUUCCUGGGCGAAUUCUCGUACAUAAUCCCGUGCUUGAGCCUUGGGCGGACAGGGGAGUUGCUGUCCAUUCGGCGUCUGUUCGACGUGCCCGAACCGGACCAAAUAGGUAGCGGUCUCGGGGCGUGACAUAACUGCAUGGGUAUUUUGCAAUAACGGUGGAGCAUAUGAGGGGUAUUUUAGAAAAGAAAAAAAAUAGGGGUAAAUUGAAUAUUUUCAAAUGUAUGAGGGGUAUAUAGGCAAUUAUCCCUAUAGUAUAUAGCAUCCAACAACUAUAAAAGUAUAUAUAUAUAUAUAUAUAUAUAUAUAUAUAUAUAUAUAUAUAUUAAGUAUAUAUAUAUUAUGAUAACAUCCAACAACUAUAAAAUUAUUUACCAAUAUUUAUAAACAUAAUUAUGAGAUAUGUAAGGGAUAACACCUACUAAAAUGAGAAGAGAGAUAGUUAGGUUAUACUUGAAUAAAGAUAAUUGUAUUUAUAUGCAUUAUUAUUUAUUAAACUUGUACAAAAAUAGUCAUAUAUAUGUAUAAUUACUAAUUACUAAUCAAAUAAUCCCAUUCAACGCUACAUUUCAAUCCCACCUUAGGGGAAAAAGAAAAAAAAGACACAACCGCAUAUAAGGGUUUCAAGUGCCGCCCGUGCUGUACGGCACGGCGGCGUGCCGUACCGUGCCCCCAAGAAGAGGGCACGGUACAGGGGGUGUCUCGGACUGCCCCCGUCUCGCGGCACGCACAUGCGUGCCGUUCAAGACAAAGCGGCAUGCAGGUGCGUGCCGGCGGCACGUACCGUGCGUGCCGCCCCCUUCUUUUUUUUUUUCUUUUUGGCUUUUUUUCUGGCUUUUUUUUUGGCUUUUUUUUUUCUUUUGUUCUCUGGGGUAUCGAGCCCCUGCCGAGCCACCUAUAUUGUCUUUUUUUUUCACUUUAUUGUCUUUUUUUCAACUUUUUUUUUGCUUUUUGGUGGAUGCCUUUUUUUAACUUCUUAUUUAUCAAUAUAGGAGCAAAUUUUUAAUUGACAUAUCUGAUCCAUACCGCGAGCCCUCCGCUUCCACCACAAACAUCUAUUUUUUCUUCGCAAAAUAUUUUGUCAAAAUUUGUCGCACCGCGAAGCUUUCGGUGAAUCAAGGGAAUAAAAAUCGAUCUCCUAAACAAAUUUUGAUCAUAUACUUUUAAAAAGAAUAAAAGAACAAAAAAAUAUAGAUGUAAUAUCGAGAAUAUAUGACUUUCUCACAAUACUAGCAAAUACUUAUAUCAACAUUGUCAAAUAAAUCUUGUAUCUGCAGAUGACAAUAUGCCAUAUGAUCAAGCGUGACGAUCUAUGUCGAAUUAAGCAGUCAUCUCUAUGUAAAUAUGUAAAUUUAAAUAAUUAUUGUACUUGUGAAUUUUAUUAUUGUAUUUUGAUUUCUAUUCUACAUCAGGUAUAGUUGUAUUUUACUUACAAAAAGCUUACAUGAAUAUUAAUUGAUGAGUAUAGUAAGGUAUACAUAGUAAAUAUUCAUAAUUAUUUAUUUAAAUCUUUCAAAAUAACAUUAUAAGAGUUUAUUGGAACCAAAAAAACUGAAAUAAGUCCGUGCCAAAGCGUGCCAGUCGAAGGGCAUGCAUAUCUAUCGGUACGCAAGCGUGCCACGUGUCGGCACGCAAGCAUGCCUGUGCCGUGCCGUGCCGUGCCGUGCCAAGGACAUAACGGCACGCCCCCGUGCCACGGCACUUUAAACCUUGCCACAUAUGCAGCCGCAUAUGUGGCCGCCUACCGCAUAUGUGGUCCGAUCACAUAUUGCGCUGCUUACAUAUGCAAUGCGGUUGAUGGUUCGAGCAGCAUCUACAGCCACAUAGGCCACUUUUUGGAACAUUGGGUUCCUUUUCUUUUGUGGACAAAAGCACCUGGUGCACCUAGUGUAUAGACUGGAAAAACAAAACAACCUUCUCCUGUGUUCCAAUCUAAAAGAUGUUCUAUAACUUAUGUUCUUUUUAUAUGAAGACCUUUUGAAUGUCAUAGAACACAUUCAACAAGUUAAAUUCUGAUUUUUAUUCUCUAUGACUGGGUUUUAGGAGUGUAAUCCACAAUACACGGGUGCACACAGCAAUUUGUAAAAAUUAUGAGGUAUAGACUAAACUGACAAACAUAGCUAUCUUGUUUGCAACCCAACCCUGUCAAGUGUCAAUAUUGAAAAAUUUCAUGGACUCGAUACAUGUCCUAGCCAAAUAUUGCAAGCACCGUCAUGAAGAAUUAGGUGGGGAAGAAAAUUAUGAGUCCUGAUCCAACAGAUGGAUAUUUUCUUGGGAUCGGCAUCAACACCGUUGUGAACUUUUCCCUAUUCUUGCCGUAGUGGUGGUAUUUUGGAUUGUUGGAAGAUGAACGAGGGAAGAAGAGGCGUAUGUUGAUGAUGCGGCAUGCAACAGAGAAAGCUAUUUUGAUUUGAUAGUCUAUAGGGGGUAACUCUUCUUCUCCGAUAAAAGGCGGCAACAUGCGCAUAACGGUUGCAAGUAGCACGACCCCCUUAUCCUUUUCUUAUUCUCCAAAGAGAUGUAGCAGCAAAGUGGGAGGGGUGGCAACAAGGAGAAGUUCAUAGAUUAGGUUUAUACAAAGAAAAGAGUCCCGCAUCAAAGUGCCAGCUGUAUUCUAUAGUUCCUGCUCUAUCCAAGAUGGGGCUAAUCAUCAGCUCAAAAUGCUUAAGACCAAGUUGCCAUUAUUACAAUUCUUGUCCUUAUAUACCUCUGCAUAGUUAUUUCACUACCCAAUAUGGGACUAUUGAGGUGUAACACCUUUACCUCAUUUAGGUUUUGACAUCCUCGUGAGGCCCACUAACACAAUUUGGCAUUGCCAUACGAUGUGGGAUUCUAAACGCCAUCACCCCCCCCCCCCCCCCUCCCCGACUCUUCGACGGCGUUACCCAAUCAACGGAGGCUUAAACGCCAUAUUUCAAACAUAAAAGCAGUGGAUCAAACACCCCCCACCCCCGGAUGCUCCAAUCCAAGCUCAAAAUCUUCUAGGGUUGAAGUUGGUCCACCACUAAGCUCUACAAGCAAGCUCCAAGCCUUGCCAAGGUGGGAAAGAGAGAAAGGGGUUGAGCUCCAAGCUCCCUCAAACUAGCUCCUCUUCUUCUUCUCCUCCUUCUUCUUCUUCUCCUUCUUCUUCUUCUCUCUCUAGAAGGUGUAGGGUGGUGAGAAAUGAGGAGGGAAGGGAGUGAAAUGGCUAAUAAGCCCAUCUAGAGUAACAAAAUCCAACCAGGCCCCUCAAAAACCCAAUAUUACAUCAGCCCGAACUGGGCAGUUUUCGCCCAGAGGGACCGGUCUCUCCCCAGCUGGGACCGGUCUCUCGCUGCGAACCCGAAAAACCAGCGUUCGGGAACCGGUCUCUCUCUGCGCGGAACCGGUCUCUCACUGCGAGAACGCGUUCGGGAACCGGUCUCGCCCGCCAGGGACCGGUUGCCUCAGGCUGCCUCAAUACUGCUCACUGGGGGAACCGGUCUCUCAUUCCAGGGACCGGUCCCCGAGAGUAAAAACUCUCAGGACUUGUCCAGAAUUCCAGUUUUCGAACGUUUUAGGUCGGAAUACAUUCUACAACCCUCCACCAAGUGUGGAAAAGCUCGAAAUACAACCAAACACUCGAACCUCGCAAUUUGCAAAGGUCCAGUGUGUUACACUCACUCUCUCUCUCUAGGGAUUUUCUCUCUCUAUAAAGAAAUCGCCGAUUUAGCCGUUUUCGUCGCAACGCGGCUUUUUUGCGGAUUGCGAGGGUCGCUGAGCUUUGGUGGACGUGUGAGGGAGUAUUUUGGAGAGCUUUUCGUAGCUCUGGACCAGUAGUUCACUGGUUGGAGGCCUGAGGAGGUAAUCGACUCAAUCUUUCCAUUAUUAAUGUUCUAUUGUUGAUUUGAGUGUUGAUUUUGAGGUUGUUGCUUCCAACUGACUUAAAC